rnacentral:lncRNA from 1 species
GCCACUAGCCUUAACUUUGGGGGUCGGCUAGAAACCCAAUCGAGAGUCGGGAGUGUUCCCUCGAUUCCUACGCAACCAGAUAUCUAGAUUCGGGGACUUGGGUUACGCUAAUAUUGCUAUUAGCGCCCUUUCGGUACCUAAACAGUAUGUUGUGUUUUUCCUAACAUGUCCAUGCGUUUCUUUUUACAUUUUUCGGGAUCAUUAAUUCCUAGGCUAAGUGAUCAUGCGUGGUUGAUUGUUUUCGUGCUAUUCUAUUUCUAAAAAAAAAGAAAAGAAAACAAUCAAUGAAAUGGAAAGUGCAAGACAUGAAGUAAACAAUCAAAAGAAAGCAAUAAACCUAAUCAUGCAAUUCUAAAAAUAUAAAAGAGAAAACACAAUUAAGAAAAAAAGAGGGAAAAAGGGAAAACCCGCAACUCGUCGGAUUUUAUACAACACAAGGAACCCGAGACAUAUGUCGGGAGAAAAAUGAAUAUUACAGAGUAACGGUCGGAGUGGACAUCGACCUCCACCAUCUUCACGCUUUCUCCAUCUUCAAGGUCCUAAUCUAAACCUAAUCUAAGAAAUUUAUGACUAGGUGCAUACAAGUGAAAGAAACAAUCACAACUAAGAUCAAAGCAAUUGGAGUAGAACCCACGUGAGAUUGGCUCUAAGAAAAAGGCACAGAAAUCAAGCACUUUAUAAAGAGCAACUUUCAUGAAUGGAAUUUCUUGAGGCGUAUCAAGUUCAAGUAAAGUCAAAUUCAUGGCCAAAAAACAACAAUCGCUAAAGCAUGCAAAUCAAUCAUAAGCAAAUCAAAGAAUGAUGCAUGACAACUGAUUUGUUAAGUCACCUAAUCAAUGCAGGGAAAUCAUGAAAUUUGAACAUGACAUAGGGUUAAAUGUGAAGAAAAAGUUUGAUUUAGGCAUUUAACCCUAAACCCAUGUGCAAAAGGCCACACAAAUCCAUUAACAUUGACACGUGACUUGUCAUUAGGAGCAAAAUGCAUAACAAAUUUAAAUUGCUACAUGUCAACUUGAAUUCUAAGGUUACUUGACUUUAAAAAUUCUCAAAUUUUAGCAUGGGAUGGAUAUGGAUAUUAUGGACAGCUUUCAUUGAGAAUUUAUCCUCAAGAUCAUUUUGUAUAAGAUCACUCAAAAUUGAUAGACAGUCAGGUUCAUAGAGACAAGACAGCACUGCAGGUCAAGACAAAUUCAGACUUCAAAACUUGAUCUAAAAAAGAAGAAAAGCAGGGCAAAUGAUGGGCAAAUUGGACAAACUAGGCAUCGUUAGAAAGCUCAAGGUGUCCUUUAUGAAUUCCUAUUAGGUGACAAUUGCAAUUUAAGUCUUUUCCUAACUCAAGUAAAGCUAUUUGUAUAAGUGGUCAAAUCAGAUCAUAACAAGCAGAACACAUCAGCAGAUUAGUCCUCUUUGCAAGAAGCAUCAGGCAGGGCAAAUGGUGGCUAAAUCGCACGUAUUAUAUGUCUAUGGAAAGCUUGAGAAGUCUAUUACAAAUCUCUAGAAGAUAUUAGGUCCUAAUAACAUCAUCUUCCAGCUCAUUCCGGUUCAAACAGAAAGUUGCAGCAGGUCAAAACAGCAAAUCAACCUAAAAAAACUACUGCAGAAUUGACAAGACUUUGUAAUUGGUUUUCAGCAAGCAAACGACGUCAAUUAUGGGCAUGUGACAUAUCAAAUCGAAGCUUGAGAAGUCUAUUCUUUAUGUCUAGAAGGGCUCGAGGCCAGAAAACUUUAUCUAUCAUCUCGUUUCAGUCAAAACAGAAAGCCUAUCACAAACACACGAAAUUACAGAUUAAUAGAAAUCAAACUCAAUCAACCUCAAGUUUGUGAUCAUUGAUCAUCAAAUUAAGGUGCUUAUCAAUGUGUACACAUACAUCAUUUGCGCUAUUCCUCACAUAACAGAACAUGUAAUUCAUAUUCACUCUCGGUGGACAAAAUCAGAACAUACUGAGCAUCCAGAUCAACUCAAUUUACUCAAACUUGGAGAAAAAUGUUGCAAUCAAUUUCUGGGAAAACAAUAUUAUCAGAUUCAGCAUGCAUAUUUUUCUAAAAAAUUCAAGAGCAGGGAUAUCUUUACAAUGCAGCACUUCUCUUCUUUUUAAUGAUGGAAGCUCCUCAAGAAUAAACGCUAAAGAUAUUGUGAAUCCACUAGUAGAUAUGAAAAUCUAUUGCUGCAUGCUGCAGUCAAGAAUCUAAGCAACAAAAAUGAUAUUUACAUGAUUCACGUACUAUUCUAUAUAGGUAGAGAGGAAAGUAAUGCAGUACAUGUGCAAUUGAACUACAUAUAAUGUUCAAAGACUUUAUCUAUAACCAGGAAAUAUUGCCAAGACGAGCAACAAUGACAGUUCUGAACCUAUACACAGGUUCCAUGAUCUAAACGAGAUAUUUGGAAAAAUUUGAGCAUAGACAAUCAAACGCAUUCAUCCAAAUGAUUCGGUCCUUUGAUAUCAGCAUACUCUAAAACCACAGUUGUUGGAAGACUAGUGAUAACAAAAUUCCCCACUCCCGUGUAUCAGAACGGAACAAACGCCAUUAUUUCAAACAGAGACAUCAAUCUCAUCAGCAUGUGACAUAAGAAAAUGUAUAAUUUACGUUUAUCCGGAGAGAUGAACAAUCAAAAUUUGUCAGACAUCACUCAUGUGCAUUCGUGUUGAACAAAUCAGCAUCUUCAAUGCCACCAAUGUAUAGCCGAUAUUCAAGACAAAUACAAGCACUUCCAGCAUAUGCAGCAUCAAUAUGGAACCACAUCCCAUUUCUCUUAGUAACUAUUGCUAGCAUAAACAGGGGAUUAAUUGCCGUUGAAGAAACUAUACCAACCUUGAAUGAAUCGGCGAAGGAUCGAAGCUGUCUGAGCCCUAAACUCCAAAUUCCUCAACCGGCCGUUCCAGCAGGGGUGCGCGAGACAGAGUUGAAAGAAAAUCGUUCGAGUCAGAAACGGCGAACGAGAAGUCGGAGACCAAAACCCUAACGGAUCAAAAGAGAGAGAAAGAGAGCUCACCGAUCCGGUGAGCCCGAUCCAAAGAGAAGAUCGGUUAAGCGUCGUUGUCGUCGCCGCCACUGCCACCGUCUUCGCCGAUGACGACGCGGUUGAGCAAACCAAAGAGAAUCAGAGAGAGAGAGAGUCCAGAGGAGAAGAAACCCCAGUCAAUCCCCGACCGCCGGCCCCCGAUCUUCGAUCCCUCGCCAAUGGAGUAAAAACCCUAGCCGAUCGAACCGUAGAGAGAGAGAACACUCGAUCAAGAGAGUCCCCCCCAGAGAGAGUUCGAUUCCGGUAGGAGAGUUGUUCAACGCCGAUCUUGAGCGGAUCAAUUUUCUUCACAAAAAUGCAGAAUCGCUAGCCUCCAUUGUCUUUCGGCGAGAAGAAAUCCAUCGAUUCUUCGCACUAGAGGGAGAAUAACUGCAUUUCUUCUUGAAAUCCUCGCUCGAAUCCAACAAAAACCGAAAAAGAAAGCCCUAAUGGAGAGAAUUGCAGAGAGGAUUUCGUGAAAAAAUUCUGCUGGAGAGAGAAUCCGUGGGCGGAGAGGGAGAGUUCGUGCGAAAUGUGGAGAGUGAGAGCGUUCGUGUGAGGAGAGAGAAUCCGUGGAGAGAGAGAGAGAGAGCGUGAGAGUCCGUGGAGCGAGAGAGAGCGUGAGAGUCCCCCCCCCUUUUCCUUUUUUUUUCUUUUAUUGUUUUCAUUACUUUUUUUCUUGUUUUCAGUUUUUCUUUUGCUUUGUUUUGUUUUCUCUCUCUUUUUUUCUUUUUGUUUUGUUUUCAUUUUCAUUUUCAUUUUCAUUUUCAUUUCAUUUUUUUUUUAUGUUUUCCUUCAUCCAUUUUUUUUUAAUCUUUUGAGCUCUUUAUUCUUUUUUUUUUCUCUUUUUUUUCUUCUUUUUCCUUAUUUCUAAUUUUUUUUCUUUUCAUUUCAAACAAUUUUUUUAACUUUUGCGAAUUGAACGUUUAAAAUGUCGACAAAAAUUUCGGGUGUCAACAGCUAUUCUCUCAGAAGUAGUUGAGUAUGAGACAACGUCAUUGGAUUGAACUCCUGAAGGACUAUGAUCGUGAUAUUCUGUAUCACCUUGGAAAGGCUAACAAGGUUGCAGAUGCGUUAAGUCAGAAAUCUUCAAUAGUGCAGAUGGUACUUAAGAAAUGGAUUGUACUUGAGAGAGCUCGAGAUUCUGUUUUCAAAUUUGAGGUAGGCCACCUUUCAAAUCUUAUGGCCACCCUCAGAAUUGAGCCGGAAGUGCAGAUGAGGAUCAAGACGCUUCAGUUGACAGACCUAGAAAUUCAGAAUAUCUUGCAAGAGGAUACCGAAAAGAGGAAUGCUGACUUUCAGAUUUCUGGAGACGGAACACUAAGGUUCCGAGGACGAUUGUGUGUACCUGAUGAUGUAGAGCUCAAAGAGGAGAUCUUAUCAGAAGCUCAUUAUAGCAGUUACAGCAUUCAUCCUAAUAGUAUGAAGAUGUAUCAAAAUCUGCAUCAAUAUUAUUGGUGGUCCGGUAUCAAGGUGGACAUCGCCAAGCAUGUUGCCAAGUGCCUGACGUGUAAGCAAGUGAAGGCCUAGCAUUGCAAGCCAAGAGGACUUUUGCAACCUCUCAAGAUUCCCGAGUGGAAAUGGGAGCACAUCACAAUGGAUUUUGUGACAGGCUUACUAAGGAGUCAGAAGGGUAAUGAUUCUAUUUGAGUAGUGGUCGACAGAUUGAUAAAGUUGGCUCUCUUCAUUGCCGUAUGAAAGGACCUUGAUUUGGACAGGCAUGGAGAGUUGUACGUGUCUCAGAUAGUUCAUCUGCAUGGAGUGCUGGUAAAGAUUACAUCAAACGAACACUCAAGAUUUACCGCUACCUUUUGGAAGAGUUUGCAGGCUAGUUUAGGAAUGAAGUUACAGUACAGUACGGCUUAUUAUCCUCAGACAGAUGGCUAGUCUGAGAGGACGAUUCAAAUCCUUGAAGACAUGUUGUGAGCUUGCGUGUUGGAUUUGAAGGGAAGCUGGGAGGAACAGCUUCACCUGGUCGAGUUUGCCUACAACAACAGCUACCAGCAGAGCAUUUAGAUGGCUCCUUUCGAAGUGUUGUAUGGCAGGGCAUGCAGAACGCUGGUUUAUUGGGAUGAGGUCGGAGAACAAAAGAUCACAAGCCCUGAGUUGGUUCAACAGUCAGUGGACGUAGUUGCCAUUAUCAAAGACAGAUUAAAGACCACUCAAGAGCCGCCAUAAAAGCUAUGCUGAUAAGCAUCGAAGACCAUUGGAAUUCCAUGUUGGAGAGCACAUCUGAAGGUGCCACCGAUAAGGGGAACUUCGCGCUUCGGUAAGAAGGGAAAGCUUAGUUCGAGGUACGAAGGUCCCUUUGAGAUUCUGGAAAGAAUAGGGACUCUAGCGUAUCAUCUUGGAUUACCAUCAAGGUUGGAGCAAGUGCAUGAUGUCUUUCACAUGUUGAUGUUAAGGAAGUGUGAGCAUGACCCUACCCACGUGCUGAAUUUUGAAGAAUUAGACGUGGACGAUAGUGUAUCGUAUGUGGAAAGACUGGUUCAGAUUGUGGAUCGGAAAUAACAUAUUCUACGCACCAAGAGAAUCCCGUUGGUUAAAGUGGUCUGGCAACACCACGGUACAAAAGGAGCAACCUGGGAGAAUGAAGAUUCGAUAAAACAACUGUACCCCCACCUUUUUGUUUAAAGAUUUGUAAUGGUUUAAAUUUCGAGGACGAAAUUUUUAUAAGAGGGGAAGAGUUGUGACAUCCUGAUCUUUCAAUUCUGUUUUCAAUUGAAUGAGUCGAGCUUUUCAUCGACACGCCUAUAAUUCUAUUCUCUGAGCUGAUCACUCACGAGAUAACUAGUCUAUCUGGUGAAGCCAUUAAUGGAUUUUAAUGCAAUAGAUUUAGAAUUCGACCAGAAAUUGACUACUCGACCAUGCUAGUCUGCAAGGGUCAUUACGGCAUAGUUAAAAAUCGAUUAGAGACCAGAGAUAGGUCGAUUGGACUGAGUCAUGUGAUUCAGUGGUGAUUCAACCUAACUGCAAAAUUCUUGUCAAUCGGCACUAGACCGAUUUUUAUGUCAUUUUGGUACCUUGUGUCCGUAUUUAAAACCUCAAGAUUUUUAUGACAACCGAGAGUCACCAAUGUGUCAAAGAUAUAUAACGUGUUUCGAAAAUAAUUGACCACGAGUCAAUUGCACUAAAAAUUCCUAAAAGCUACUUGGUAGGUUAUGUUACGCUAAAAUCACGCCAGAUUGAAAUUAACCGCGAAUUUAAACCCGAUUUCGAAAAUUGAAAGUUUUGUCAUGUCACAAUUCAUUUUAGGAACAUCGACUCAUCCCCCGAAGAUUUUUCUACAAAUUGGGAUAUUUGGCGAAAAUUCAAAGUAGAGCCGUUUUUGAUCGGAAAAAUCACAGGGCUAUUUUUGGUUGCUUUUUUGGGAUUUAAGCUAGCUUGAUUAACAAGGAAAAUGUGAAUUCAAGUGUGGGCACCUUGGUUGAUUUUAUGGACAUUAGAUUGAACUCAAUUGGAGGGAAUUUGGUUCAAUUUGGGGGAAAAUGUUCCAAAAUUCGUAGCUAGGAGGGGUGUGCAACAUUUGGACCCUUUGAGACUGGUUGAGGAACCUUUGAGGGCUGCCAAGGGGCCAUGGAUGACAGUCAUGGCUAGUGGCGCCUUGCCAAGGGAGAAUAGGAUAGAAGAGAAGACUUUGGAGGCAAAAUGGGACCCUCUAUCUUCAUCUAUCUUCUUCUUCUUCAAGUGGCUUACUUUCUCCAUUGUUGAAGCUCUAGGAAGCUUAUAAAACUAGAGAAAAACCGACGGCCCCUCCCCCAAGCCUGUUGAUCGCCCGCCGAGCCACUAGAGCCACCACAUGCCGCCCGCUCGUGCCUACUCGCCCGCAUGCACUGUCUGUCCAUCCUCGUGCCUAGCCGCUCAUUCCGAGCCACCUCGCCACCCCCCGAGCCAUUGAUCGUCGUGGUAGCUCAGCUGGAGCCUCGCUGUUGCCAUCCAACCACCGUCUGCCUCCGCCUAGCCUGCUGCAGCCGCCCAUCUGCCCACCUUGCCAUUUCAGCCGUUGUUCUAGCUUGCUCGGCCCAAGAGUAGUAGUCGAAGCCGGCAAGGGCCGUGAGACUUGAAGGCCAGUUUUCAUGCCCGACCAAUCUUUGUUUGGUGUCGCCGUAAGGUUGUUUGUUGCCCGUCUCUGCAUUAUCGUCAUCAUGGACUCACCGGAUCACUAAACCGGUGAGUUUACUUGCUAAACUCUGCUUAGGGAGUUAAUGAUGCUUAAGAGAUUAUUAGUUUAGACUAAUUAAGAUUUAGGUGGUUAGUUAUAUUGGAUUAGUGAUUUAAUUAUUUAAUUUUGCAUGUUAGGUGGUUAUAUUAGACUCAUUAUGGACUAGAUAGAUUGUAUUAUUUAUCUAGAUAGGUUCAGAAAUUUUCUGGGCCCAUUUAGGUGGUUAGAUUAGCAUUUCCAGCCUAUGUGAGUAUUUAUGGCAUUUGAUUUGCAUUAUUUAAUUAAUUUUGGUAUUUCAUUAAUUAAUUAAUAUUUUCCAGAAAUUAUAUCGAGAUAAUCGAUGACCAAAAUUUCGUGCUGAUUGCAGUGGUGCGUUUUGUUUCUGCAAUUGAGUGUUAAAUUGCGCAAAUUGAGUGGUGAUUGGAAUUUAGGUUGUUUAUUCCAAACUUGCAAAAUCUUGGUAUUUAAUUAGAAAAUCUCGAGUGUCGGGUUUUGUCACCAAAAAUGAUUUUAAGUACUAUAUUAAAUAGUGGGAUUUUAAAAAAAGAGGAUAUCAAAUUUCGAGUUCAAUUUGACCGUGUACUCACACACGAUUAUUUUCAUCAGGUGUUUUUAAUACAAAGAAAAUGGACCAGGUACAUGAUCUUAAUUGAGACAUUUGGGCACAUUACACAUUAUACUUGGCCUUAAUUGAGUGGUCUUGUGUUGGUUAAGAGAACCCGUCGCAAGCAUUUACGUCGGACAUUACCCCUAUAUGGGACGCCCCUGGACAAUAGAAGCUGGUUGCAAUAGAUCAUGGACCGAUACUCCUUUGGGAUUGCCGUAUCAUAGACAUGUUGCCCUGCUCAAUGUGGUGAGAUGAUGCCUAGCUAUGCUAAAAGACUGUCGAACAUCGAGUAGGCCGUGCCCAUUGGGUUGAGAUCAAAACUAGUAACGCAUGAUUGAUUGAGUUAGAUGCGCUGGAUUAUGGGACAAAAUUGUGUGGCACGGUAUGGGAUGUGUCAUAAUGAUUUGGCCCUAUAAUCAGGACUUUUGUGGUCAUUUCAAAUUGCGUGUGGUGUUCCAAUUAUUUGAGCUUGUUUACUGCUCAUGUCUGCAAUAUGAAUUGUGCUGACCUGUAGGAAGGAGCUGAGACAAGGUAACUCUCUGUGGUUGUGUGAUAGUGUGAUUGUGUGGUUAGGACGCCUCUAGGCGUAUUACCCUCUUAAUCGAGGUUUAAAGCAUGAACUCGUAGAGAUUUAUAUCUCACUUCGUCGUGGGCUCAAUUCUUUUUGGACUGUAGAGUGGAGUAUCUGGAGCCAAGCUGAGGGGACUCAAGGUGUAGGUCAGUUAGGAGAGCUUCUUUUUGAGAGCCGGUCUUCUGUAGACUUUUGGUUGUUGACUUUUGUAUAUGACUUAGUGUGUAUAUAAAAGCAUCUUUUGUUUGUGAAUCUGGUUUCGUGCUUUUCUAUCCCAUGCUAUUUGCAGUCAAGGGAUUUGUUUAUCCGCUUCUACAUAUGCAAUAAAUGAAAGGGUCGGCGAUGCGUCCUGGGACGUAGUAAAUUUUAUCGACCACCAAGGGAUGGGCAUGCGCUUGAGGUUCGGGGCGUGAUAGCUGAAGGCUCAUGCUGUUAGUAGGAGGGUUGAGACCAUCCAGGAUAAGCUGUUGACCCUUGCGCCAGACCCAUCCUUCUUGUUUUUUUACAUAUACUUAUAUACAUAGGGUGUUGGAACAUUAGGGGCCUUGUUGGCCCUGUUAGACAAGCAGAGGUCCGUCAUUUGGUUUUUCAAUUUAGUUGUUCUUGGUUGGUUUAUUGGAGACGAAAGUUCCACGGAAUCUCUUCAACUCCAUUUUUGGGAGACUGUUGAGGGAUUAGUGCUGGUUAGCAAACUAUGAGCACUAUCAUUAGGGAUGGAUUUGGGUUGGUUAGGAACCCUUAUGGGUGAAUUUCGAAGCCUCCUCAAUAACUAACCAGGCAGUUCAUGGGAAUCUCAGUUUUUGGCUUUAAGGGAUGGCUGCUGUAUUUCAAUUGUCUAUGCUGAGCACACCUUCACGUCCCGGAGGCCUCUUUGGGAGGAUCUUAUCCUUAGGAGCACUAUGGUACAAAAUAUGUCUCAGCUUGUAAUGGGGGACUGUAAUGCUAUUAAGGACCUGACUGGCAGGUUAGGUGGUAUAGAUACUUGGAUCUCGUGCUUUGACGAGUUUGGCCAGUGCUUAGCUCAAUUUGAGCUAGAUGACCUUAGGUAUGUUGGCUUUCGGUACAGCUGGACUACCUAUUCUGGAACUUCUCGGAAGGCAAGGAAGAUAGAUAGAGUCCUUGUGAAUUCCAGUUGGAGCCAAGUUUUUUCCUAUUUAGAAGCUUCAUUCCUAGCACUGGGGAUCUCUGAUCAUAUGCUUAUGGUGGUCAAGGUGGUGAACCUAGUGCUUCGAAGGAAACCUUUCAAGUUCUUUGAUUUUUGGAUGAAGCAUUCAGACUUUGAGACAAUCAUGAAUCAAAUCUAGGAGGCUUCGGGAGAGGGUGUGCCCAUGUACAAGCUUGUAUGCAAGCUUAAAUCCCUUAAAAGUUGACUCAAGCAGCUACAUAGAGAGUCCUUCUCCAACAUCUCCACCAGGACAUCUGAAGCGACAGAGGCUUUAAUGAUCUCACAGGUUGGCCUCUAGCAGGACCCCACCAGUGUUGAACUUGCUAAUUUGGAGAUGAAUCAGUGCCGCACUUUCUUGGACCUUCGUUCUAAGGAAGAGUCCUUUAAUAAGCAGAAGUCUAGAAUCAAGUGGCUUAAAAAGGGGGACCGCAAUACAAAGUUCUUCCAUCACUACAUCAACAAGAGGCAAAUGAGAAAUAGAGUCCUCUCCGUCAUGGAUGCCCUUAGUAACCAGAUCGCGGAACCGCAGAUGGUCCAGCAGCAUUUUGUUGCUUAUUACAGGACCUCCUCGCACCGCAAGUUGGCCAAGGAAGACCUUCGGUUCGGGAAAUUUAGGAGGUCAUUCGGUGUCCUUUAAAUGACGACUAGAUUACUUCUCUUGCGCAGCCCAUCUCUGAUCUGGAGAUUCGGGACACUCUCAUUUCAUUAGCUCGGGGUAAAGCCCCUGGACCAAAUGGUUUUAUGGUGGAAUUCUUCAAGGAAAAUUGGGGGACGAUUGGACAUUUGGUCACGGCAGCCGUGAGGGACUUCUUCACCACAGUGAGACUCUUAAGGGAGAUCAACAACACCAUAUUGGUUUUGGUGCCAAAAGUUCCUAAUGCAACUACUAUCAAUGAUUACAGGCCCAUCGCUUGUUGCAAUACCAUUUACAAGUGUAAUACCAAGGUUCUGGCUAAUCGAGUUGUUGCAAUAUUGAAGGAUUUGGUGAGCCCUUUUCAAAGUGCUUUUGUAAAGGGCUGGCGGAUUAGGGACAAUAUCCUUUUGGCUUAGGAACUCUUUUUUGGUUUCCACCUUGAGCCAUAUUCACCUAAGUGUGCAAUUAAGGUGGAUUUUAGGAAAGCCUAUGACAUAGUAGAUUGGGACUUUCUUGAGAGUGUUCUCCUUGCCUUCGGGUUUCCCAAACACCUGGCUCAACUCAUCAUGACCUAUGUGCGGACUCCUAAGUUUUACAUUGCAUUGAAUGCGGAGCUACAUGGUUUCUUUGCUAGUGGUUGAGGCCUACGCUAGGGUGAUCCCAUGUCUCCCUAUUUAUUUACAUUGGUUAUGGAGGUGCUCUCUAGGAUCCUCGUUAAAUGCGCCUUGAAUCCAGACUUUAAAUUCUUUUGGAGAUCCAAGCCUACCAACCUUUCGCACCUUUUCUUUAUGGAUGACGUAUUCGUGUUUUGUGAAGCCGACUUGCCUUCGAUGACACUCCUCAAAGAAGACCUCCAAAAUUUCUCGGCUUGGAGUGGUUUGCACCCGAACUUGAACAAAAGUGAGAUUUUCUUGGCAAGGGGUUCGCAUUCCUUAAGGAAUCAAAUCAUCCUUGAUCUUGGCUUUCAUGAGGGAAACCUACCAUUACGUUAUUUAGGAGUUCCAAUUAUUACGUCGAUCCUUGGGAAGGCCGACUGUUGUGCUCUCGUCAACCGCAUUACAGUGAGGGUACAAUCUUAGACACGUUUUUUUCUAUCAAUUGUCGGCCGACUUCAGUUAAUCAGGUCAGUCCUUCAUGCUAUCCAAGCCUAUUGGGAUAGUGUUUUCAUUCUUCCUACAACUGUGUUGGACCAGAUUGAGAAAAUCCUUAGACAAUUCCUUUGGAAAGGCCUGGAUUUGGGUAGGGGCUAAAGUUUCCUGGUAUGAUAUCUGCAUCCCAAAAAAGGAGGGAGGUCUUCGUCUCCACAGGCUUCGAGAUUGUAACAAGGCUGCCAUGUUGAAGCAUAUCUGGCUUCUGUUUUCAGAAAAGGAGUCAUUGUGGUGCAAGUGGAUCCACUCGACUUUCUUAAAAGUGAGGAAUUUCUAGGUCAUCAAAAAACCAACCUACUGCUCUUGGGCUUGGAAGAAUAUCUUACAACUCAGGACAGAGAUCCAAGAUGCCUUCUUUUGGAGAAUAGGGGAUGGCCUCUCAGUGUCACUUUGGUUUGACAAUUGGCACCCUAUGGGUUCUUUGAACUUAAUUUUUUUUUUCCAGAUUUGCUCAUCUAUAGUUCCGGCCUCUCAGGACAAGCAACAGUGGCUGAUCUUUUCUCUAAUGAUGGCUAGGCUAUCAAGACAGUAUUAGAGUCGUGGGAGCACCUCCUUUCGAUCCUCUCUCAAAACCCGGUUUGUUUUUGCUGGAGGGAGAACUUGACGGGCCGUUUCACAGUUGCAACGGCGUGGGAGGCCAUUAAGAGGAAGAAGCCCCGGGUCCUUCGGCAUGUGCUCAUCUAGAACAAUUCUAUCACACCAAGGUAUCAGGUUAACCUUUGGCUCAUUGCCAAACGUAGACUUCCUACCCAAGCUCUCCUUCUGUUAUAUGGGAGAAUAGAAAGUGUCUCUUGUGCUUUUUGUAAUGAUUUGCUCGAUUCUAUUCAUCAUCUAUUUUUUGGGUGUCGAGUCACGGUCGACAUUGCUUUCUUUUGGGUAGCCAGAUGCAAUCUUCCAUGGUGUAACAGGUCUUGGGGUGGGAAUCUCUAGUGGGCCAUGACCUUGCUUUCAGGCAAGGAUCUUUAUAAGUGCAUUGCCCUCUUUUCCUUUGGUGCCCUAUGUCAUAUUAUUUCGAAGAAUAGGAACAACAUACUUUUUAGAGAGGAGCCUCUUGCCAUCCCGUCCAUGAAGAACCAUCUCUUUAAAGUUGUUAAGGACAAGGCUGCCACCUUCACGAAUGUGGAGGGCUCUGCAAGGACUAGGAGUUGCAGCGCAGCUCGGGUAUUGACCUGAGUAUCUUCUCUUUUGGAGACCUUCAACCGCCUAUCUAGUUUUAGUGGUGCCUGAUGGCUCUCUAUCGGUUUGUACCUCUCGGUCGAGGUGCUGCUGCUACUGCAGGUNNNNNNNNNNNNNNNNNNNNNNNNNNNNNNNNNNNNNNNNNNNNNNNNNNNNNNNNNNNNNNNNNNNNNNNNNNNNNNNNNNNNNNNNNNNNNNNNNNNNCAUUUGGUUGUAGCUGGUUGAUGGUUGUUCUUGCUGUGCUUGUGUUGUCUAGUUUCUUCUAGUCUUGUAGCUCUCGAGCCACUUAGCUCUUUUACAUCUCAGCAUCCUUCAACUCAUAAUGAUCCAACUCAUCUUCAAUGUGAGUUUUGGUGUCAUGAUCGCUUUUGUAUAGUUUGGCAUUUCCUCAAUAUAUUACAUACUUCUACAAAAAAAAAAAAGACUAAAAACUUUUGUCAUUAACCAUAAGGCCCAUUAGAACUUCAAUUUAGGUGUAGUUCUUUUCUUUAAUUUUAGUUUUUCAUUUUGGGCUGAAAACUUAAACACGGGCAUCGCUUCAUGCAGCAAUCAUCAUGGCCAUCUGAUGCAAGCCAAGGGUAGGCUUUCUCAAACAGUAGGAUCGAGAGAGUGACUCGCACACAGGAAAACCAGAUGAACAGAAAUUUCAGCACUGCACAAGCUCAGGAGAACAGUUGUAUCUUUGUUGAUAUAGAUCAGAUUGACCUGAUUCGAAAGCCAAAUGAACAAAGACUUCUGGAUCUACAAUUUCUAUGUUUUAGGUUUUCUGAAAUAAGCACUGUAGGAUGGUCGAUAUUGGGUUGGAAAUAACAAACAGAAUAGGAAAAGAGUGAAAACUCCGUUGGUUGCUCUUCUAGGCCUCCAAGGAAGUUGAGGGGGCACCAAUUCUUUUAGAUCGAUGACUACAACUCUUCAAGGAUGCAAAUUUCGAAAGCUCCGACUCUUCGAGGACAGAGUGAAAACUCUUAUAGGUUUUCAAAGGGAUGAACUCUAGAAGGUUCAUGACACUUGCUUCAAAGCAAAGUUUUUUUUUUUUCAUUCAUCAAAAGUCGUUUGUCUUCUACAAGAAACUGGAUGGCUUAUAUGGUCAAAUAAAUAAAGAUACAGCAUUGGAACUAGGAGAAAUAGUAAAAGCAUAACAUCUUCAUGGCUCCCAAGGUGUCUUUCCAGCUUCCAGGAUGGACUCAAGAUGUCAAUACGGCUUCUCGGUUUGGUCGAGCUUGAAUGCCGGCUGAUCUUCUUGGUCAAGAGAGCUGGUCUUCAAUGCGGGCUGCAUCAUCCUCCCCAUCUUUAAAAGUAUUCGUCCUCGAAUUCUCGCCAUCAUCAUCAGAAGAAUCUCCCACAUAAGGUGUUAAAUGUCGAACAUUGAAGAUGUCGUGAAUCUUCAAAUGAGAAGGAAGAUUUAAUCGAUAAGCAUUAGGAUUGAUGCGCUCAAGAACUUCGAGAGGUUCAAGCUGUCAAUCACUAAGCUUGUUAUAACUUCCGAUAGGAUGCCAUUCCGGUGGCAAAUAAGCCCAAACAAAAUCUCUAGGAUCAAUGAUAACUUCACGCCGCUGCUUGUCGAUAUUCGUUUUAUAGGAUUCAGUUUUGCUCUCUAGUCUUUGGCGCACAUCUUCAUGAAUUGUCCUCAUUUGAGAAACAAUAUCAUCGACUUUGCUGCUUGACUUCUCAGCAAAAGGAAUUGGUGCAAGAUCAAGAGCAGUGUUUAGUUGUCGACCAUAUACGAUCAUAAAUGGACUAUAUCUAGUGCUACAGUUCUCUGCACAAUUAUAUGCAAAUUUUCCAAGUGACAACCGUGUCUCCCAAGAACAAGGAUUAUUAUCGAUCAAAGUCCUUAAUAGAUUCUCCAAUGUUCGAUUGACAACCUCAGUUUAUCCAUCCGUUUGGGGAUGAAACACAGUACUAUAUUGCAGUUUAGUACCGACAUUCUUCCACAGUCGUCGCCAAAAAUGACUAAGAAAUUUUGUAUCCCGAUAUGAAGUAAUGGUCUUCGGAAUGCCAUGCAACUUAUAGACUUCCUUGAAAAAUAAGUCGGCAAUACGCAAAGCAUCCAUAGCUUUUCGACAUGGAAUAAAAUGUGCCAUUUUGGAAAAUCGAUCGACAACAACAAAGAUCAAAUCCAUACCUCUGUUUGUGCGUGGUAGUCCAAGGAAAAAGUCCAUAGAGAUAUCCUCCCAUGGGGCAUGUGGAAUCGACAAGGGCAAAUAAAGGCCAGCAUUAGUAGCUUGUCCCUUUCCAAUUUGGCAACGUCGACACCUCGUCACAUGUUGGUGUACAUCACAUUUCAAAUGAGGCCAAAAGUUUUUGGCUGAGAUGAGUUGUACAGUUUUACCACGCCCAAAAUGUCCUGCAUGGUGAACUUCAUCGAUCACCCGUUGCCGAAGAGAACAGUUCGGCACACAUAAACGGUUUCCUUUGAAAAGAAAACCAUCAUAUAAAGUAAAAUCAGCAAGCUUCUUUUCAUGUGCAUCAGGAAUGAUCUUGGAAAAGUAGCGGUCUUCUUGAUAUAACUCCUAAAAAGAAUCAAAUCCAAGAACAUUAGAAUGCAUUGUAGAGAGCAAGCUCUUCUUUCGACUAAGGGCAUCGGCAACUUGAUUAUGAGCUCCAGCCUUAUGCUUAAUAAUGAAAGUAAACUCCUGAGUCAUAACCCUUAUGAAUGUCGAUGGUGCAUUCGACAAUCCGAAUGGCAUGACUAGCCAUUCAUAUAGCCCAUCUUUCAUUUUGAAUGCUGUCUUCCAUUCAUCUCGGGGCUUGAUUCUAAUUUGAUGAUAUCCACUCUUCAAAUCCAGCUUCGAGAAUAUUAUUGCACCAGAAAGUUGAUCUAAGAGAUCAUCAAGGCAAGGAAUAGGAAAUUGAUACUUGAUGGUGAUCUUGUUGAUCGCUCAACUGUCGAAACACAUCCUCCAAUUACCAUUUUUCUUAGGCACUAAAAGAGCUAGAACAACACACGGACUGAGGCUCUCCCUUAUAAAACCCUUAUUCAAUAGCUCCAUAACUUGUCGAUGCAAUUCCUCAUGUUCGGUCGGACUCAUUCGAUAAUGAGCGAGAUUUGGCAAAGAGGCUCCGAGCAUCAAAAGAGGUUGAACUCGAUGAGGUAUGAUAGAGGCAACUUUAUUCUUCUCACCUAUUUUAUUAAGCAAAAUAUACAAGAUACGAACUCCUUUCAAAGCAUCCUUCAUAUCAUUCAUUGUAAACAAUGUAGGGGAGAAGGAAUUCUCAACUAUAGGAGUUUUUAAAGGUUCCCUACUAGGUGCCAACGUAAUCUUCUUACCUCCAAAUUCAAAAGAAUAUGUAUUUCGAUAACCAUCAUGCAUAGUCCUCCUAUCGAAUUGCCAUGGUCGACCAAGAAUAAUGUGACUAGCAUCUAUUGGCAGAACAUCACACCAUAUCUUGCCAUUAUAAACAGAACCAAUGGACAGAUUAACAAGGCAUCAUUUAGAAACAGUUACCUCAGCGCCUUUCUUCAACCACAACAUUUUAUAAGGCAUAGGGUGAGUUUUUAAUUCCAACUUCAGCUUGUUUGCCACUACUUCAUAAAUUAUAUUUUCACAACAACCAGAGUCAAUAAUUAAUUGACACACAUUUCCCAUGAUUGUGCAAACAGAAUCAAAAAAAUUGGUACGCAGCCACCUAACUUCAAUGUCGUCUCGACAAGUAAGAAAAUUUUUCCUCACCAUAAGAAGUUCGCCAAUGUAAGCAUGCACUAUUUGUUCAUCAUCCCCAGGUUCUUAUUCAUUGUUCAACUCCUCUUCAAAUGGAUCCUCAGCAUUCUCAUCAAAAUCAUUAUCCACCAAAAAGGCUUUAUCGGUUAGUCGAUUCUUUUUUAUUCGACAAUUGCUAGCACAAUGACCCAACGCCCCACAAGAAUAGUAACGUAUUUCGGACGUAGCAGGUUGCUUUGAAACAUGGGGCUGAAGAAGGCUUACUAGUAGAUUGCGUUGUAGCCUCAGCAACUUUAGCAGUGCUAGUGGCCCUCUUAGUGGCCUGACUUGCCAUGGUAGUUGAUUGCUGUCUCUGAGAACGAGAGCGCUCUAUUUUGAGUGCCCGUUGGUGUGCAUCUCCUAAGUCCUAAAUGUCGAGGACUUCCAAGGCGUCUUGAAUGUAAAAUUGGAGACCAUUCAAGUAUUUGUUUACAAGCACAUCUUUUGGGUCCUGGAUAUUGUUACGAAUCCCCAACUUAUUGAAUUCAUUGGUCUAUUGGUCCGCCGUUCACAUCCCUUGUUUUAGAUUUUGGUACCGUUGGUAGAGCUCUCUCUUUUAUCUUUUGGGAAGGAAAUAUUUUUGAAUCUUGCCCUCCAUCUUUCUCCACAAAGUGAUUGGUGCUUUGCCAAUGGCUUGGCGAGUUUGUUUUUCACGUCUCCACCAAGCAAUCGCCUUGCCUCAGAAUCACAUAGCAAUGAUCCCAACUCGAUGAUUCUUUGGAACAUUUCGAUGCUCAAACACCUCAUUCACAAGUGUUAGCCAAUCAACAAUUUCAUUAGGAGACUCAGUACCUAUAAAUUUUGGAACAUCUUUCUUGACUUCCUUUUCCCAAUCUGGCUCACGAAUUUGUUGGAAAUGAUGUCGAACAUGCCUCCGAUCAUGAAUAGAUUGAACACUCUCCGAAGAGGAAGAGUCACCAUGGGAAUCUUCAGUGCUGGAAUGAGGUGGAGAAUUAUUUGCUUGAGCCCUCAAACGCUGAACUUCUUGCGUCAAUUCGUUGUUGCAUAUUCUCAGCGAGUGUGUGCAAUUCAGCGAGGGGAAUGGUUUUGCCACCACGACGUCUAGCUUGUCUUGGAGGCAUUGUCCUCUCCUCCGAAGCUUUGAUACCAAAUGAUGCAAGCCAAGAGUAGGCUUUCUCAAAUAGUAGGAUCGGGAGAGUGACUCGCACAUGGGAAAACAGGACGAACAAAAAUUUCAGCACUGUGUGAGCUCAGGAGAACAAUUGUAUCUUUGUCGAUACAGAUCGGAUUGACCUGAUUCCAAAGCCAAAUGAACAAAGACUUAUGGGUCUACAAUCUGUAUUUUGGGUUUUCUGAAAUAAGCAAAGUGGAUGGUCAAAAUUGAGUUGGAAAUAACGAACAGAAUAGGAAAAGAUAGAAACUCCAUUAGUUGCUCUUCUAGGCCUCCAAGGAAGUUGAGGGGGCACCGAUUCUUCUAGAUCGAUGACUACAACUCUUUAAGGAUGCAGAUUUCGAAAGCUCCGACUCUUCAGGGACGGAGUGAAAACUCUUCUAGGUUUUUAAAGGGAUGAACUCUACAAGGUUCAUGAUACUUGCUUCGAAGCAAAGUUUUUUUCAUUCAUCAAAAGUCGUUUGUCUUCUACAAGAAAUUGGAUGACUUAUAUCGUCAAAGAAAUAAAGGCAGAGCAUUGAAACUAGGAGAAAUAGUAAAAGCAUAAUGUCUUCAUGGCUCCCAAGGUGCCUUUCCAACUUCUAGGAUGGACUCAAGAUGUCGAUACGGCUUCUCAAUUUUGUCAAGCUUGAAUGCAGGCCGAUCUUCUUGGUCGAGAGAGCUAGUCUUCAAUGUAGGCUGCAUCACCAUCACUGGGUCUUGAUCCCAAGCAUCUAUCUGUUGUACAAAAGCCAACACUACAUGAUGUUUCUUAGUGAUAAAAGCACCAUGUCAUUUUCAAUAAUAAUUCUUCUCGUGAUUAGUAGUAGUUGAUCAACCACACCCAAUAUCAAUUGACAAUCCUUCAUCACAUUAUGCACAAAAAGAAGAAAAAAAUUGGUUUCUUUUGGAGAAGAGCGAGCAUCAUUGCAUACACGAGCAAAAUUGGGAUUCGCAUUUUCUGCUACAUCCUUUCCUCUUCGAAACUAUUCUUUCGUGUAAGAAAAAAUGCCACCACUAGUAACUAUUAUAAUUAAAGAGAUUACUUGGGUUUCACAAAAGGAAUAAAUACUUAAAGAGUUGCAUUUCUAUGGAGAAGUGCCGGGGAGGGCAAAGAUUAACAGAGCAUGGCAGAUUGAGCUAGCCUUUUCAGGAUCUGAACGCUAUCAUUGGAGGAACCGAGUCUCUGGGAAUGACUUAAACUCAUAGAAAAUGAAGCUUUGUAAUUGCAACCAUCGAUGCAUCUUUUUUCAAAAUAGGUGAAAAAGAAAGAGCUUGACUACCCAUUAUUUAAAAGAAAAAAAAGAAAAAAGAAAAACUACCCAUCCAUACAAGUGCUUGUGUGCAAAUCUAAGGAAGACAUUCUAUUAUUUCUAUUGUGAUAGCAUAGCCAAAUAGUAAAUAUGUGAAAUUUCUAACAUAGCAUGGAAGCAGGGUAUUUAUACUUUUGGAAUCAGCUAAAAAACACUCACUACCUAUCAAAAUAUUAUGCUCAAGAUGUCAAAAUUGAUUUCAAGAAGAGAGUCCAAGAGAGAGAGGGAGAGUUCGUCCAAGUCAAGUAUUAUGUUGAUUAAACAUGUGGGAAAGCCAAGAUCAUCUAGAAUGAUUGGCGUCAUCAAAGAAUCACAUAGUUAAAUCUUAAAUGCCUAGGCAUCUAAGUUUUUUUUGUUUUUUGACAGACAUAUGACUUGAAAAGAUCAUGAUAAUUGAUUAAGAAACUAGAAAUCAAGAUGAUCAAUUUAUAAUAUCUCCAAAGUAAUUAGGAUAAAAAAUCAAAACUUUACCAACGAUGAACUUGUCCAAUUAUCUUUAUUAGUUCUAAUAGUGAAUUCGCAUAAUAGACUAUGGCUAAUUGUGCUCAAAGUGAAGAAGACAUGGAAAGGAGAAUCACUAAGUCCAAAGGAAAUUAGGUGCUAGGAAUGAAAGAGCAAAUGAGGUACAAAUACUAGAUAUGGUAAAGCUACCGGAAGACAUUGUCUAGAUAUAAAGCUCUGUAAGUAGGAUCUCUACUGUGCUUUUUCUAGUCUCUAUUUGGGCAAGAGAAAACGUCAUUUCUUGCACCCCACCACAUGGUUUGGUACUAUUGCGAAUCAGGUAACCAAUGUGAGUAUCCAUGUUUGAGCUAUAUGCAUUGCAAAAAUUAUGCCAUGUCUUCAAAUUUUUAGUUCAAAAAAAUGAAGUCGUUUAUGGUUUCAUUGGAAUGUUGUCUUAAGGUGAACUUAGAGUGAAAUUUGUUCUGAAAGUAGAUAUCAUUUAUCAUUCAUUGUUGUUGGGCAUGGAAGCACAACGAUGGUAACAUGAAAAAUUAUAAUGAGCAACUAGGGAUAUACUGAUUUGAAAGUGCAUUAUAAAUAUUAACUGACAAUAAAAUAUGUUACCCAACCAUCAGACACAAUCCUUAUGAUUGGUACAAGCUUACAAGUACUAUUAUGAUUAUUUUUCUCACAUGACAUGCAAAAACACCUGGAGUGAACCGGACUCUUUCUUAUUUCUCUCCAGCGUUGAUGAGCCAACUCUUUCUUUUUCCCCUCAAUUUGGAACCCACAAACUUUGAAGGAGCUUGAGCUCUCACAUGACUUCAAUAGCUCCUCAUCUUCAUGUUCUUGCGAUAGCAUCUAUCUAUUGUACACCUCCCAAAUAGCUCCCUCCCUUUAUUACCCUUGCUAUUUCCUACAUAGUAGCCUUGACAAGUAGAUGUUGGUUUCUAAUAAUUGUUUUCAUCGAAGACAAGAAUUACGGUAUCUCUUUUGUGUUGCUCGCCUCCUUUCAAAAAUUGCAAAUGCACGAGAAAUAUUAUAAAUGAGUGGAGCAUGAGGUUCCAUAAUUAAAACUGUUUAUCAUCAAAAAAUCGUAAAAACCAAUAUUACUUGGAAUAGUCGGGUCAAAAAUUGCAAAUUGGCACAAGAACAUUUCAUUCCUUCAUGGAUGGAGGAGCCAACUCUUUUUUUCUUUCUAUUAGUGAAGCUUUGUGUCAUGCCCCGAACCUCGAGCGCAUGCCCAUCCCUCGGUGGUCGAUAAAAUUCAUGACGUCCCAGGACGCGUCGUCAACUCAUUCAUUCUAUUGCACAUACAGAAGUGAAUAACAAAUCCCUUAAUAGUAAAAGCAUGGGAUACAAAAGUAGGAAAACAAAUUCACAACCAAAACAUGCUUUUAUAUACACAUUAAGUCAUAUACAAAAGUCAACAACCAAAAGUCUAUAAAAGACUGGCUCUCAAAGAGAAGUUUUCUUAACUAUCCUACACCUCGGAUCCCCUCAGCUCGGCUCCAAAUCCUCCACUCUACGGUUCUGAAAAGAACUGAGCCCACAACAGGGUGAGAUAUAAUCUCAACGAGUUCACGCUCUAAAUCCCAAUUAGGAAGGUAAUACGCCUAGAGGCAUCCUAACCACACAACCACACUAUCACACAAUCACAGAGACUUACCUCGUCUCAAUUCCUCCCUGUAGGUUAGCACAAUUCAUAUCACAAACGGCCACACGAACAUAAGCAGCAAAUAAGCUCAAUUAACUGGAACGCCACACUCAAUUGCAACCAAGCACAUAGAUCCUGAUUAUAGGCUCAAAUUGUUAUGACACGUCCCAUACCGUGCCACACUUUUUUGUCCCAUAAUCCGACGCGUUCAACUCAAUUUAUCAUGCAUUCCUAAUUUUUGAUCUCGGCCCCACGGGCAUAGCCUACUCGAUGUUCGGUAGUCUUCUAGCAUAGCCAAACGUUGUCUCACCCCAUUGAGCAUGGCAAUGUCUCUACUAAAUGGCUUUCCCAAAGGAGCAUAGGUUCAUAAUCUACUACGAUUGGCUUCUAUUGUCCAGGGGCAUUCCAUAUAGGGGCAUGUCCACCCAACUCAUUUCAGGGACGGGUUCUUUUAACCAACACACAACCAUUCAAUCUCGGCCCAGGACACCAUGCAUUGCACUCAAAUGCCUCAAUUAAAAUGUUGAACCUCACCUACUUUCUUCAUAUUAAAAAUACACAGUGAAAAUAAUCAUGUGUGAGUACACGGUCAAUUGGGACCAGAAAAACCGAUACCCAUCUUUUUAAAAUCCCACGGUUUGAUAUAGUCUUUAUAAACCAUUUUCAUUUCAAAACCCGACACCCGGUAAUUUCAAAAUAAUUACCAAAAUUUUUGAAUUUUGAAUUAAAUGCUCAAAAUUAAAAUCACCACUCAAUUUGCACGAGUUAACACUCACUUAAAUAAACCAAGCAUACCAUUGCAAUCAGCACUAAAUUCCGAUCACCGACUAUCUCGGUAUAAUUUCUAGAAAAAAUUAAAUACUUAAAUAAAUACCAAAAUUAAUGAAAUAAAUACAAUUAAAUGGUAAAAAUACAAACUUAGGCUUGAAAUGCUAAUCUAACCACCUAAAUGGGCCAAGAAAAUUUCCGAACCUAUCUAGAUAAAUAGCACAUCCUAUCUAGUCCUUAAUUAAUCUAAUCUAACCACCUAACAUGCAUAAUUACAUAAUUAAAUCACUAGUCUAAUCUAACCAACCACAUAAUCCCUAAUUAACUUAAACUAAUCAACCCCAAAGCAUAAUUAACUCCUUAAGUAGAGUUUAGCGAGUAAACUCACCGGUUUAGCAUUCCGGUGAGUCCACGACAACAGCGACGCGGAGACAAGCAAAAAAAAACCCCAUGGUGACACCAAUCAAGGCCCGAAAGGAACCUAAAACAGGCCUAGAGGUCUCAGCUCUUGUUGGAAGGGCUUGAAACAGCAUAAGGUGGACGGUGACGGCUGCAGCGGCCCAGGUGAGCAAUGACGGAGGUUGACGGCGACUAAAAUGAUGACGAGAGGUCUCGACAAUGGCCAGGAUGGCUCGAGACAGCAACAGGUCUUGAGCUAGAGGUGGGAUGGCACGGACGCAAGACUAGGCUCGCGGCAAGUGGGAGGGAGCUCUGGUUGCUUUAGGCAGCUGGUUGACGGCAAGGGGGAGGGGCUGGUUGGUUUUUCUGCAACUUUGAGCUCUCAAAACACUCUCUAAUGGGGAAAGGCAGAGCAAUGAAGAAGGAGGUGGCUGCUGCAACUUGGAGGGCCCAUAAAAUAUCUAAAACACUUGAGUUUUAGCCCUACCACCCUCUGGCUAUCAUCCUCAGCCAUUUGCAGCCUUCAAACUUCCUUGGCAAGUCUCCUAAGGGUCCAAAUGUUGCACACCACCCCUAGUUACGAAUUUAGGAACAUUUGCUACUCAAAUUAAUCCAAUUCUCCUUCAAUUCCUCUCCCAUUGAGCCUAAAUUAGUCCACAUAAAUCCAACCAAGAUGCCCACACUUGAAUUCACUUUUUUCGUCAUCAAUUGAUCUAAUUGUUAUCCUAAAAACGUGACAUAAAAUGGCCCUUUGAUUUUUCCAAUAAAAAACGUCCCUACAUUGAAAUUUUGCCAAAAAUCUCGAUUUACAGAAAAAUCUUUGAAGGAUGAAUCGACUAUCCUAAAAUGAAUCGUGACAUGACAAAACUUUCAAUUUCUGAAAUCAGGUUUAAAUUCGCUGUUAAUUUCAACCUAGUGCGAUUUUACUGUGACCUAACCUACUGGUAGUUUUUAGGAAUUUUCAGUGCAAUUGACCCGCGGUUGAUUAUUUUUUAACCACAUUGUACAUUUUCAACUCAUUGGCGACUCUCAGUUGUCAUGAAAAUCUCGAGGUUUCAAAUACAUACACAAGGUACAAAAAUGAUAAAAAAAAAUUGGUUUAGCGCCAUUCGACAACAAUUUUGCAAUUAGGUGGAAUCACGCACACACUAAUCACAUACCUCUAUCGAAUUGACCUAUCUCUGAUCUCUGAUCAAUUUUGACGGUGCCGUAACAACCCUUGUAGAUUAGCACGGUUGAGCAGUCGAUUCUUGGUCGAAUUCUCAAGUUUAUUGCGUUGAAAUCCCUUAAUGGCUUCACCAGAUAGAUUGGUUAUCUCGUGAUUGAUCAGCUUAGAGAAUAGAACUAUAGACGUGUCGAUGAAAAGCCCGAUUCAUUCAAUUGAAAACAAAAUUGGAAAUUCAUGAUGUUACAACUCUUCCCCUCUUAUAAAAUUUUUGUCCUCGAAAUUUAAACCAUUACAAAUCUUUAAACAAAAAGGUGGGGGUACAAUCGUCUCAUCGAAUCUUCACUUUCCUAAGUUGCUCAUUCUGCACCGUAGUGUUGCUAGACCACUUUGACCAACAGGAUUGUUUUGGUGCGUAAAAUAUGUUCUUUCCGAUCCACAAUAUGAACCGGUCUUUCCAUGUACGACACCCUGUCGUCCAUGUCUAACUCUUCAAUGUUCAGCACAUGGGUCGGGUCAAGUUCAUACUGUAACAUCCUUGAUUUCGACUCUUAUUUUGGUCCCAACUAGGAGGCCAAGUUAGAUAGGCCUUAGGUUAGUCAAACCUUCCUAGAAAAUAAGUGUGAACAAGUGUGAAAAGCAUUAAAUGAGGAUGAUGAAUGUAGAGGCUUAUGUGUCCCUAUAGCCUAGCCUAGUUAUAACCCUAAACUAAGUUAGCGAUCUUGGAGGCCAAGAAAUGGACUACACAUCCAUUGGAAGAAAGAGCAAGCAAGUUAAACCUUCUUGGAUAAGAUAAUAGGACAUUAAAUACAUUUGGUUUCUAGUUAUUUAAUGCUGAGAUGAAGUGUCCAAGCUAAUCUAGGACCUAGUUGAAAACUUGGAAGAUAAGGAUGCUCGACAAUUAAUACUUCUUGACCAAGUGGGACGCCUCCUUUUCCCAACUAAGGUUGCCACCUUUGAUUUUCGAAAUUUCUGGACCUCUACUACUUGUCAAUUUUACACAGAUUUUUGUGGUACGAAUUUAAAGAAACUUCCUUCACGAAAGUUGUUUAAACAUCUUGAUCUAAAACAUAAUAAAAGUUCAUAUUUUUCUGAGGUGAAAUGGUAGGGACGAAGGCCCAAUCAUUCACCGUCUCAAACUUGUCCCGUGUAGUGGAAACGGUGACCAAGUUUCCUUCUCGAAUUCUUAUAAAAUAUUCCCUUUCUAAUUUGGACAUGCUUCAUUCAUAAAAGUUUUAAAUGACAUCCAUAUCUACAACAUAUUAAAAUUUGAAAGAGUUUUGUGAAGAUUUGGAUUUCAAAAUGAGUCUCUCUCUCCGACUGUUGAAUCUGCUCGAUGGACGAAUAUUUGGGUUGUGUUCAAUGAUUUACUGUUCUUUCCACAACACGAAUUUGACUUGACUUCCUUAAUGAAAAAUUUCAUUCAAGGUCUUCUCUAAAGCAUAUUAAAAUUUCAUAAGUUUUUUAUUCCAUUUGAUAAGGUAAGGACAUUCAUUUUGGAAAUUGUUCAAAACUGUUUUUCUCACCCAAGAGGUAUGAGUCACACCCAAGCUUGGACUCAAGUCCUUAAAUGCCAUGUUGAGGUGUACCUAAUGAUAUCUUCCUCGGCCUUAGAAUCAACUUGGAUGAAAGAAUUUUCUAGAUUGCCUUCUUGAGGAAGGAAUUUGCCUUCUUAAAGAAGGAAAGGAAAGUAGAAGACAUCUAGGAUUCCUUCAUGAAGAAGGUGAGGUGUCCCUUGACUUUUCGAAAGCCAUGAUUUUAGUCUAAAAUAUCUUGGAUAUUCUAGAAAAGUGGCAUACACAUGGACCAAUUGGAAUGUGCUACACAAACCAUCAUUAUGACCGAAUAUUCUAGAACCCCCGAGUAGGCAUUAUCAUCAUUAGGCUUCAUUAAAUGCCCAUUGAAUGCGGGGUGUUGGUGGACCAAUGGGGGAGUGAAAAGUGGGCCGUCAUUGAUGACACCUAGGGGCCUAGAUUACCAAGUAAGGCCUUUAGCUUGGCCAACUCAUCUUCUAGGUAUAAUCAUGAGGUAAAGUAGGCUUGCCAUCCAAGGAAAGUAGGCGGGACACUUGGAAACAUGGGAGAGGACCGCUUGGCUUGGUAAUGAUAGCUCCAAGGGCUAUAAAUAGGAGGAGCACUUCUUAUUUUCCUCACUUUGCUCCCAUUUCCUCCUCCCUCCUUCUCCUAAAACGCCCCUCCUCCCUCCUCCCUCUCUCUCUCUUCUGGCCUUCAAGGCAAGCCGUCCAUCUUGUGUAGUUCGAGCUUUAGUUCAAGGUUCAUUCAGGUAAGUGGAAUCUCUAACUCUUGGCUGGGGCGAUAGCCUACAUCGUCAAGUUUAGUGGUGUGCUCACCCGUGUAAGCUGUGUGUAUGUUGUAAUGUUCUUUUGUGCGUUUGCUCAUGUUUGCAUGUUUGAGUGUGUUCACACCUCGGGACGAGGUCAAGGUUUGCUCAGCUUGGAAUUGAUGUCAAGUCGCGAUGGCCUAAGCAUGUGAUCCAACCCACAAACCAAGAAUCAUUCCCGGCAUAUUUUAUAAUAUGAUGUUGAGGAUCAUGACACACUCACUUGAAUGAGCACGCCCUCGGGCCUUCCAUACGUUGGCUAAGAUAAGAGAUGAAAAACCGGCUUGUGUGAUGCACUUGUAUGUGCACUUAAAGAGGAAAAAGCGCCUGCCGCCACAUAGCGUUGGCAACAAUGUCUCGUUCAUUGAAUGGGAUGCCCAAGUUGAGCCAGGAUGUUUGGGUUGAGCCGGGAUGUCUCGGGUAGCUAGCCCUGAGAUGCCUUGGUGAGCUAGCGCCAGGAUGCCUCUGUUAAGCUAGGAUGCCUAGCUUGAAAUUGGAUGCCUCGAUUGAGCCGGGAGGACCUGAUUGAGCCAGGAUGACGGUAAAUGAAUCUGCAUGAGUAUCGGUAUAUGCAUAAGCAUGAUAUGUGAAUGUGUUCAAUGAUGUGCCAAAGGUAAGCAUUCAUUGAAGUAUGCGGUGAUGGACAUGUGCAUGUAGUUGAAGAUAGUAAUAAGUUUGCUAUUGAUCUGCCAUCAUCAUUGCGUUGCGAGUGUUGCAUCUAUUAGAUUUUGAUGAUGAGAUAUCCUUCUAGUAGAGAAUUAGGGGUUUUACUUACUGAGUUUCCCCAAAACUCACCCUCAUCCUUUCAAUCUCGUAGGCGUGGAAGUCUCAUGUCAAUUUCGGAAGCUGCAAUCUCGCUAGAAGAGCUAAGGUUUACCCCAACCUUUUGAAAAUGUGGUAGCUGUAAAUAGAAGGGCUUGUAAAUGUAACCAAUGUAAUUGUGUAUUUGUAAAUGGUUGUUUUCCUAGCUGCUUGUUGUUUUCCCGGUGUUGUAUGUACGCUUCUGCAUGUGCUUAAUGAAAAGAUAAAAGGAAAUGAAACAGCGAUGCGCCUGGGACAUCGCGAAAAUAAUCCUUGCUGCUUGUGACCCUGGGAUGGAGUUAGGGUCGUGACACAUACUUCCUCAACAUUGACACAUGGAAGACGUCAUGCACUUACACCAACCUCAGCGGUAAUGCAAGAAGAUACGCUAGAGUCCCUAUUCUUUCCAAAAUCUCAAAGGGACCUAUGUACCUCAGACUCAGCUUUUCCUUCUUACUGAAGCAUGAAGUACCUCUCAUUGGUGACACCUUCAUAAAGAUGUGAUCACCAACUUGGAAUUCCAAUGAUCUUCGACGCUUAUUAGCAUAACUUUUCUAGCAGUUCUAAGCGAUCUUUAAUCUAUUUCUGAUAACGGCAACUACAUCAACUAACUGUUCAACUAACUCUAGGCCUAUCAUCUUUCGUUCUCCGACCACAUCAUAACAAACUGGUGUUUUGCAUGCUUUGCCAUACAACGCUUCGAAAAGUGCCAUCUGAAUGCUCUAUUGGUAGCUGCUAUUGUAAGCAAACUUGACAAGAUGAAGUUGUUCCUCCUAGCUUCCCUUGAAAUCUAACAUGCAAGCUCACAGCAUGUACGAAGGUUUAAAUCAUCCUCUCAGACUGGCCAUUCGUUUGAGAAUGAUAAGCUGUACUGUACUGUAGCUUCGUUCCUAAGGCGGUCUGCAAACUUUUCCAGAAGGCAGCUAUUAACCUCAGGUCUCGGUUUAAUGUAAUCGUCACUGGCACUCCAUGCAGACGAACAAUUUGGCGCACAUAGAACUCUGUAUGUCUGUCCAAAUCAAGGUCCUUUUGUAUGGCAAUGAAGUGAGUCGACUUCGUCAGUCUAUCGACCACUACCCAAAUGGAAUCAUUACCCCUCUGACUCCUUGGUAAGCCCGUCACAAAAUCCAUUGUGAUGUGUUCUCAUUUCCAUUCGGGAAUCUCAAGAGGUUGCAAGAGUCCUCCCGGCUUACAAAGUUAUGCCUUCACUUGCUGACAUGUCCGACACUUGGCGACAUGCUUGGCGAUGUCUGCCUUCAUACCAAACCACCAAUAGUGUUGAUGCAAAUUCUAAUACACUUUAGUACUACUUGGAUGAAUGCUGUAACUGCUACGAUGAGCUUGUAACAAGAUCUCUUAUUUAUGUGGCACCCCUCGAUGGCCCUUGAUUUGUUAACGUAGACACAGUUCGCUUACCUUUAACUUUCCUAAUAACAUGUCACUCUGAUACCAUUUCAAUAGCAGCGGUUCCAUACAACCCGAGGGUUUACAUCUUUUAGAUUAGUCCCUUGUGCAAUUCAUAUAACGGAAGCAUAUCCAACAACCCCCUUCCCUAUAUUUAGAAAACAAUGCACACCAACUAAACAUCUUAUAAGUUAAAGCCGUACACCUUUAUUUACAUAAAACUAGAUGGACAUCAUGAGUCGGUACAUAGAAAACGUUGUGGUUUUCUAUACCCGGCUACGUAUCAAAAGAUAACUGACAUCCCUUCCAACAGUCAUAUACUUAAAGUCCAUCGAUCAAUGUCAGCGUCCAAAUGUUCCUUCCUUUGCUAUCCUCCUCCUCGCGGUCAUAUCCAACCACUUGAUCCAUCUACUGGUGGCAGUGGCAGUAGAGGAAUCUUAUCUAGUUUGAAAUGUUAAUCCCCAAAAGGGAUGAGUACAACCACUUAGCAGUAAAGAUCCACCAAACUACUCAUUGCAUCAAACAGAACAAUCAAGGCAUCAUAACAAAGUACAUAUCAUUCAUGCAUUCAAGCAUAACUUACCUUGCAACCAUGCAUAUGUCAUCAUACCAUAUAUGCAUAUACCAUCAUGCACUCAUCAUCAAGCAUUCAUGCAUAUAUCACCAUGUCAUAUGUGUAUAUACCACCAUGCACUCAUCAUCAAGCAUUCAUGCAUAUAUUACCACGCCAUAUGUGCAUAUACCUCAAUGCAAUCACGCAUAUCUCACCAUGCCAUCGUGCAUAUACCACCAUGAUUCAUAUCAUCAAUGCUAUCAAGCAUACAUCACCAUGAGAUCCAUUCAUGCCUUCAUGAUCGCAUUUUUAAUAUCAAAUAGCAUUAAUUUACUUUCAUAAGCAGAUCGUGCAUCAUGCCAUAUGAAUAUGCCCAUGCACAUGAUUCAUUUUCAAUUCUUAUCUUUCACAAGGAUCUCAUCAGUUCUUCUUUCCAAGGACCAAUGUUUGCAUUCCACAAUUUAUCGCUCGCACCUAACUUGACAUCACGAAGAACCUCCGGCACACACCUCUAGGCAUCCGUUACCCCCACAUUCCGGGCAUCUCGUAUCUCAACUGGCAUCACGAGGUAUCCCCUCGGCACACACCUUCGAGGCUUCUGGGAUUACGUACCACCAUACCACCAGGCAUUCCCCCUGGAAUUAUGUACCAUAUACCACCGGGCAUCUCGAAACUUCCGAGGACAUCCAGGCAUGUAUCGUAAUACAACCGAGCAUCCGGCACCCCCACAUUCCGGGCAUCUCGACACUCCUAGGGCAUUGUCGGCUCACACCUCCUACGGUAUCAUCAUAAUCAUAAUUUAUAUUCACAUUUGUGUCUCAAUAUCAACAUGUGAUUUGAUGCAAUAAUGCUAAUGAUUGGAAUUAGCCUUUUUAAAAUCAUAUAAUAUGCAUUGGGAAAAAUAUUAUUUGAUGCAAUGGUUUUGAGAAACUUCAUUGAAUUCAAGAAAAUCCAUAAAUCUUUUGAUGUCAUAUGAUAUGCAUGAAUGUCACCACAUCAUUGCACGAAUGAUAAUCCAAGAUAUCAUAAUUUAUAUAGCAAAUCAAUAACCUGUAAAUAGAACAGCUUUUCAGCUUAAACAAAGCGGCGAAGGAACAGCAGCAAACGAGCUCUUCCUUCUCCGUCUUCUUCUCUCGCAUGCUCACUCUCUUUCUCUCUCGAUUUCCCUCUCUCUCUCCCUCGGCUCACUUCCCUUUCUCUCUAUCCGCCCACUUCCCCUUUCCCGUUUGGGUUGAAUAAAACCCUUGCAUGCUCCCAUUUUUGCAUGGAGGGACACUUGAUUACAAAGGGGCAACACUUGGCAUUUUUGCCAUGCACAUGAUGGGCCUUUAAUGGGCCGGGCUUGGGCUAGGCCUUUGGUCGGCGAAAUAGGGGAAAUGGUGGGCUGGUUUUUGGGGGGUUUUGGGCCUUAAGAAAUCAGCCCACACCUUUUCUUAAUAAUCCACCUUAAUCUCCACUUGUAAUAACUUAAUUUCAAUUAUUCACAUGGCCAUAAAAUUUUGCAACAUUAAUCAAUAAAAAUCCAACUUAUAAAGUACAUGGCCAAGAAUAAAAAUUUUCCCAAUCAGUUUAUCCUUUAAUACAAAUCCUUAAUCACUCAUGGGCAUAGGAUAUAUUUUCAACCAAAUAAUUGUCCAUUAAAAUACUUGGCCUUAAUCUAUUACAAUUUUUCGGUCUAGUGGCCAUAACAAAAAUCAAUAACACUUCGAUCACCUAUUCAUGGUUCAUGGUAUAUCCAGGAGUUAUUAUAAAAUUUUGUGAUGCCACAGUUCUCCCCUCCUUAGAGAAUUUCGUCCUCAAAAUUAGACAUUUCCUAUGUCUCUUGAAAUAAGUGAAAGUACCUUUCUCUCAUCUCAUUUUCACUCUCCCAUGUGGCUUCCUCCACAUCAUGAUGUCGCCAUAAUAUCUUAACCAAUAGAAUUCUCUUGGUCUUGAGAAUUCGUUCCUUUCAAUCCAGUACUUGCACAGGCUCCUCAAUGUACAUCACUUCCUCUUCCACUUUGAUAGCUUCAUGAUCGAGUAUGUGACCAGGGUCUAGCUGAUACUUCCUCAGCCAUGCCUGUACUUUUCUGAAAGCUAUUGUUAUACACAAAUUCUACCAAGUAUAACUUUUCAUCCCAACUUCCUUUAAAGUCAAGGAUGCAAGCCCUUAACAUGUCCUCUAAUGUUUGGAUCACUCUUUUCGUUUGUCCAUCUGUUUGAGGAUGAAAAACAAUACUAAAUUGAAGCUUCAUCCCUAAAGCAUCUUGUAGACUUCUCCAAAAAUUUGAAGUAAACCUAGAGUCUCAAUCAGAUGUAAUCGUUAUAGGAAUAUCAUGUAAGCGUACCACUUGGCUUACACAUAUAUUAGCAAAUUUAUCCAUCGGAUAAUGUACGCAAACUACUAGGAAAUAGGUAGACUUAGUCAAGAAAUCCACCAUCACCCAGAUGGAGUCGUGGCUACUUGAUGUCCUUGGUAAUCCUUGCACGAAAUCCAUCAUCACAUAAUCCCAUUUCCAUUUUGGUAUAUCUAACGGUCUCAAUCGAACACACCAUUUAGCCAAAUCAUUCCUAUACCUUUGUCACCAUAAAUUCAAGCCUAGAACCAUCAAAAUCGACACCACCAAUAACUCAUUUAGUUCAGUCCAACAAAGACAUUCACUACGCUUUCACUGCAACAUAGAUUCAAGCCUAAAAUAUAGCAUCAUUCAUUCGGUUCAAAUAUCAAUAGUCCACCAAAACUUAUUCAAUUCAAAGAUCGACAAUCCACCAAAAUAAAACUUGUCUAGUUUCCAUCGAGUAUAUCUCAUGUCUCACCCUAAAAGAUCAUCACUUGGACUAAUCACUCAUCAAAUCCACAACUUGAAUUUUCACCUUUCCACCUUGGAAAGACUAUAACCACAAUUGAUCAUAUCCACUAAUUCCACCAAACCUUUUCAAAUUGAGAUCAUCGCCUAAAAUUAAAAGUUGACCACCAUCGAUUAAAUCUAUUAUUUCGACAUAUAAACCACAAAUAAUUUCAUGUCUCAUAUGACCACUCAAACUCAUGACUUCCAAGAUCAAUCUAUACAUACUAAAUGCCUCCAUAUAAUGCAUCAAGACUUCCAAUGAGAUCCUCUAAUAGGAAGUCACUACUUAGCUCAAAUGAUCAUAACUUAAUCCUCAAAUUCAUAACUCACUCUCCAUAAUUCACUUCUUAAGCCUUGUUUGCAGCACUAUGCUUAGAUGCUACGCAUGUUCUUCGAGUCCUUUAGAAUAUAUCAGGAUAUCAUCAGAUGAAUAUAAUCACAAUUUAAUCCAAAUAAGGCUUAAGUAUCCGAUUCAAUAAAUCCACGAAUGCAGCUAAGGCAUUCGUCAAUCCAAAUAGCAUAACUAGGAACUCAUAGUGUCCAGCAAGUCCUAAUUGUGGUCUUAGGAAUGUCUUCUUUCUUAAUCCUUAACUGAUGGUAUCCUGACCUUAAGUCAAUUUUAGAAAAGACUGAACUUCCUUGCAACUGAUCAAAUAAAUCAUCAAUUCUAGGUGAUAAGUACUUACUUUUAACAAUUACAUGAUUCAAUUGCCUAUUAUCAAUGCACAAGCGCAUCGACCUAUCCUUCUUUUUCACAAACAAGAGUUCUACAAGCUAAACCAUGCUUCCGCUGCGCCACUCUGAUAAAAUUAUCCUAGAAACACUACCUUCCUGCCCCCUUUUGCCAUCCUAGAAGCUUGCUAGGAGCCACUUCUUAUUCAGGUCCUCUGACCUCGGCGUCCACUCCCCGCCCUCAUUAGAUCGGGUCGUUACAAGUAUACUAGCUUUAGCCUGGUUCGAAUCCAAACUACACAUCCAUUGGAGGGUCUCGUUUCAAUAGGGACUAACUUACAGAGAUAUUAUAUGCUUUGGCCUAUCCCAUUCUUAGCCUCACGGUUUUAUCCUUAGCGCAUGAGUAAGUACUAUCUCAGGAGAUCAUUCAUCCUAGUCCAUUGCUUACGGAGCUAGUCCAUACCUAUGAUGACGUCAAAGUCAUACAUAACUAUCACUAUCAAGUCCAUCUCUAGAUCUCGUUCCCCUAGGGUUAUCUCACACAUCUCACAUGUUAACGUAGAUAACAACAUGUCCUUCAGUGAUGUAGAAAUACGAAGAGGCAAAUCUAAAGAUUUGUUCCUAUUUCUCACAAUCAUCUAUAUUUUUCAGACACAAAUGAAUGCGUGUCACUAUAUCAAAUAGCGCAUAUGCCUUCUUAUCCAUCUAUCGAAAUCGUACCUGAGAUAACAUUUUCGAAAGCUUCUGCUUCCUCUUGGGUGACCGCAUACACCCUUUCCUGUGCUGGUGGCCUCUGUGGAUUCCUUGGUAGGUUUGGUCCAGCAGUACUUUGUUGUACCUGUCGCACCAAGCUGACAUUCGGCUACGACCUCUCUUUUGGACAAUCUUCUUAAAGUGACCUCUCUGCCCACAACUAAAACAUUUCAAUCGAUCAUUACAGGGUCCUGGUCCAUGUUGUCCACCGCAUCUCUGACAAAUAUUACUUUGGUAGGGUACUUUCCCUAGAAUCGGGCCACUCUUGAUGUUUCCAGAAUUCCCAAAAUUAUUCCUCUUCUUAGAUUCCCAGGGCUGACCUUGAUCAGGAUAAGGUCUCUUGCCCCUUUGAAUAUCAUUAAAGGUCAUCUGCCUCUUAAAUUCUGAUUACUUUCUCACUAACUCUUGCUCCACCAACUAUGCCCUCUCAUAAAUCUCAUUAUAAUCCCUUAUAUUCAAAGGCAUUAGUUGUUUUCUAAUAUCAGUCCUUAAUCCUUUCAGGAAUCUCUUAGCCUUUUCCUCUCGAUCCUCAACUAACCUCGGAGCAUACCUAGACAGUUCAGAAAAUUUUGCCUCAUAUUGAUCCAUUAUUAGUUCCCUUUGUUCUAACUGAACAAAUUCAGUGACCUUCCUAUCCUUGGCACAAUCAGAGAAAUGCUUCCUAUUGAAAGCCCUAGCAAACUCAUCCCAGUUUAUCUCAGUACCUGGUGGAAAGAUUGUGUCUCUUGAAGCUCUCCACCAAAACUUUGCAUUUCCCUCCAGUUGGUACUCUACCAAGGUUAUCUUUUCAGCAUCGCUACAGUUCAACAACCGGAAAAUCUGUUCCAUUCCAUAAAUCCAUUGCUCCGCCUCCUCAGGACUUCCCAUUCCACUAAACUUAAGUGGCUUCAACUUCAUAAAUUUUUCCAGCAGUCCUUGAGGGUGAUGUUCUAUUCUAGGUUGUUGCUGCACUUGUCUUUCCAUUAGAUUUCCAAUAUUAGCCAAUGCCUGCAGGAUAUCUUCCAUUUGGGAUUCAGCCCUUGCUGCAAAGGCUUCAACCCUCGAUGGAUGAGCACUUCCAACUCGUACCAUGAUUUUCCUGCAGUUUUCCAAGCAUUUGCCUCAAGAAUAAUUUGCAACUUGGUGUCACUAGUCAGAUCAUUAAUUAAGGUUAUUACUAAAGUCACAUAAGUAACAUAGAAUGUUAUUGACACAUAAAAGAAACAUCACACUAGUUACCAGGGAUCUACGAGUGAAUAUCCAUCACCCGUUGUUCAAAGUUAGUGAACCAUUCCAGUUAGUAUCCUAUGAUGCGCAUCAUUCUAUCCUCAUUUCCAUCUGAGGCACCUUAUCACUCCAAAUAGACCAUAGCUCUAAUAAAAUUAAUAGAUGUGGCAUCCCUCGACGGCCCCCGAUCCGUUAGGGUUGCCACAGUUUGCUUACCUUUCACUUUCCCUAAUAACAUGUCACUCUAAUACCUUUUCAAUUGCAGCGGGUUCAUAGAACCUGGGGGUUUACAUCUUUUAGAUCGGUCCCUUGCACAAUUCAUAUAAUGGAAGAAUAUCCAACAACUCCCUUCCCUAUAUUCAGAAAAGGAUGUACACCAACUAAACAUCUUAUAAGUUAAAAUCGUAUUACAUAAAAGUAGAUGGACAUCAUGAGUCAGUACAUCAAAAACGCUAUGGUUUUCUAUACCUAGCUACGUAUCAAAAGAUAACCGACAUCCUUUCCAAUAGUCUUAUACUUAAAGUCCAUCGAUCAGUGUCGGCGUCCAAAUGUUCCUUCCUUUGCUUUCCUCAUCCAUGCACAAUUUUGAAAACAAUUUCGAUUAAACUCUUAAAUAAACUCGGAAAAUUCUGAAAUUUGGACACGUUGUAUUUAAGACCUAGAAGUACAAGUUUCAUGAAGAAAUCGUAGCCAAUUCGUUCUGGAUUAAAAGAUAAAAUUGAUUUUCUUUUCCUAUUCUCGGUAUCGUUUUCCAGAUCUACCCGUGUUGAAGAAAAAAUCGUUUCCUUCGUCAUUGCUGGUCCAUUUACUAUUAAAUUUGUGUAUGUUGUUCCUCAGGAUAUUACCUAAAACUUUAAUUCAGGACAAAUGAUCAAAUUUUAACUGCAUGAUUUUAUAAAAAUCCUGAAAUCAUACUAGGUCGAAGCAGCGUUUUUCCCAGAUCCAGUUUCUUCAAAAGACAACGAUUUCACCGACCUAUUUUUGUUCAUUUCCUCUAAUUUUUUUAUAUGUACUACCUCAAGAAGUAUACUACAACUUUAGUAAAGAGAACAAAGUGAGAAAGAAGGUUACUUUACAGACCACAAAACCACUGAAGGUCAUCACAACGAAUUUCAGAUCUAGUCUCUCCAAAGAAAAAUCAUUUCACUAACCAUUUCUUGUUCGUUUUGCGUCACUUUUAGUAUGUUGUUCUUCAAGGUGUUCUCUACAGCUUACAUGAAGAAAUUGAAGCAAGAUUCCGACUAAAAGGUCACAUGCAACACACAAACUCAAGAAUGGUCAAACUGGUCUUUCCAGAAACAGCAUGCAUGACCAACGAAUCCCUCUCCAUAGCUCUGAAAUUUCAUCCCAUCUACCACAACCAAGACCUACCAUCUACUACACAUACACACAGCAAUGCAAUGAGUAGGUUUUAGGACUUCACUUGCCUCGAAUUUAAGCACAAAACAGCGACAGACGGCGGGCAAAGCGGCGAAGGAACGGCGGCGAACGAGCUCUUCUUCUUCCUCUUCUUCUCUCACACACUCGCUCUCUUUCUCUCUCGAUUUCCCUCUCUCUCUCCCUCGGCUCACUUCCCUUUCUCUAUAUCUGCCCACUUCUCCUUUCCUUUUUGGGUUGAAUAAAACCCUUGCAUGCUCCCAUUUUUGCAUGGAGGGACACUUGGUUAUAAAAGGGCAACACUUGGCAAGCUUUUCUUGCCACUUGGCAUUUUUGCCAUGCACAUGAUGGGCCUUCAAUGGGAUGGGCUUGGGCCAGGCCUUUGGUCAACGAAACGGGGGAAAUGGUGGGCUGGUUUGGGGGGGGGUUUGGGCUUUAAGAAAUCAGCCCACACCUUUUCUUAAUAAUCAACCUUAAUCUUUACUUAUAAUAACUUAAUUUCAAUUAUUCACAUGGCCAUAAAAUUUUGCAACAUUAACCGAUAAAAAUCCAACUUAUAAAGUACAUGGCCAAGAAUAAAAAUUUUCCCUAUCAAUUUAUCUUUUAGUACAAAUCCUUAAUCACUCAUGGGCAUAGGAUAUAUUUUCAACCAAAUAAUUGUCCAUUAAAAUGCUCGGCCUUAAUCUAUUACAAUUUUUUGGUCUAGUGGCCAUAACAAAAAUCAAUAACACUUCCAUCACCUAUUCAUGGUUCAUGGUAUAUCCAGGGGUUAUUAUGAAAUUUUGGGAUGCCACAAUUUAAGCUCUACAUCAUCAGGUACACACAAUCGUCCUCGGAACCUUAGUGUUAUGUCUUCAAAAAUAUGAAAGUCAUCCUUUCUCUUUUGAGUAUCCUCUUGCCGGAUUUUAUGAACAUCCAGGUCUGUCGACUGAAGUGUCUUGAUUCUUAUCUACACUUUCGAUUCAAUUCUGAGGGUGGCCAUAAGAUUUGAAAGGUGGCCUACCUCAAACUUGAAAACCAAAUCUCGAGCUCUCUCGAGUAAAAUCCAUUCCUUAACUGUCAUAUGCGCAACUGAAGAUUUCUAACUCAGUGUGUGGCAACCCCCAAUGGCCCCCGAUUUGUUAGGGUCGCCACAGUUCACUUGAUUUCUCUGGACCUGAUAGUCUAAUACUCUGAUACCAUAGAAUUUCGGUAAGUCCAUGAGGUCUGGGUGUCUAUACCUUUUUCAUUGGUCCUUGCGCAAAAUAUGGCGGAAGCGUAUCCAACAUCUCCCUUUCCCAUAGUCAUAAACAAUGCAACCAACUAAACCUUCUUAUAAGUAAAGGUUGGACACUUUUAUUUACAUAAAACUAGAUGGACAAAGGAUUGUCGAUACAUCAAAAUGCCGUAGCAUUCUAUACAUGGCCAUAUUUCAAAAGAUGCUAACAUUUCUAAUAACCAUAAACAUAGAGUCCAUCAGUUAGUGCCGACCUCCAAAAAUUUCCUUCCUUUGUUGUCCUUGGCUCAUGGUCACACCCAUCCGUCUGGUCCAUCUAGUGGUGGCCGUGGCAGGGGCCCCAGCGUGCGUCCAUCUCAGCGGAUGAAACUGGCAAUGUACUCCUGAAGUAGAGGGCUAGUAGGAGGACCAAUAUCAAAAACCACUAUCACCCGUACCCAUUCAAAUACCAAUCCUUGAAUCUCAGGGUGAUGAUGUUCUGACUAUUCUCAUUGCAGGUCGACUGGGACUCCAUAAAAUGUGCCGAGAGAUAUAGGUAGCAAAGGCAUCUCGUCAAGUCUGAAAUGAUAGUCCCCAAAAAGGGGUGACUACAACCACCGAGCAAUAAAUGAUCCACUAAACUAUAUCAUGCAGAACCCUUACUAUCCAAUUUCAUGCAAGAUAGACAAAACAUAUAAUGAAAAGAAGGAGUAUGCACCAAACAGGUAGAACUUUUCAAAAUAGUAGUGAAUGCAGUUUCAAAACCAAUGCACAUCAUUUCAAACACAUAGCCCCCCCUCGAUUUAUAAGACUAAACUGUCAAGACACAUUUCAUACCGUGCCACACAAUUUUUGUCCUAUAAAUAGGCAUCGCUUAUUAGGACCAUCAAUUCUAAUAUUCAAUAAUAUUUUUCUCUUGGAGGACCAGUGUUAGCGUCCCUCUGGGCAUUUGCACCCAACCUGGCAUCGCGAAAGCCUCUGGUUUUUAAUCGCUGGGCAUCCAAAGCGUGCUACGUCGCACCUCACCUGGCAUCACGAGGAAUCUUUGGGGUGCACCAUGAAAAUGGUUACCCUUACCCUCCAGAAUUACGUGCUGACAUACCACCGGGCAUCCCGACACUCCCGGGGAACCUUUAAGGCUCUGCAAACCCCAAGCAUCCAAAGACAUCGACCCCUAUGAUCCUUAUGGGCAUCCCGACUCCCGGGGCAUGGUUGACCCAAGGGCCCAACAGCAGUAGUAUCAUCUCAUAUUAUUUCAAUAAAAUAUUUUCAAUCCAAUGACAUCGAAUGUCCCAUGAGUUUUCAUCAAAUCUCAGUGUUGAAUAAUAUGCUGAAUGCCAACACCAUCAUAUCAACUAAUAAAUCAAGAUGCAUUCACCCUUGAGAUAAAUUGAGCAACUCGAAAUAAAACAGCCCAAAAAUCAGAAUGCACAGUUUUAGUAAAAAUUUUGGAAUAACCCCUAAACGAACUCAGAAAAUUCUAAAAUUUUAGUAUGUUAUAAACAGGAUCUAAAGGAAAUAAUUUCAUGCAGAACACUGAGCCAAAUUCGUCAUAUAUAAAUCGCAACAAAUCGCACAACUCAGCCCUAAAUUUCUUCUAUCGACAGAAUCUAUACUUUGGCAGGAAAGCACUUCCCAUUAAAAGAAAUUUGUGCCUCUGUAUUGAUUUCAAAGAAUCUGACCAAAAACAUAUGUCUUAGCUUAAACAAUUCCUGACAACUUUCAUGAAGAAAUCGGAACCAAAAUCGCCCUAGAACUGUCUCUAGAAAAUCUACAAAAUUGUUGAGUUACACUCAAUCUAAUUUGGACACUAUGUAUUCAGUAGGAUCCCACGCCUAUACCAUGCCUAUUUCACUUCCAAAAUUUCACCACAAAUUGUUCUUUCAAUCAUAGUUCAACAUAAUCAGAAUGUAUAGAGAUGUCCAAAGUAUUUCCUCAAUUCUUUGGUCCCAAUCUACUGCAAUGACUUAAUAAUCCAGCAUUCAGCAUCCAAAUUCAGACAUCCUCAAUUUUAUUUGCACUACCUCAGACAAUAAGAGCCUUCCAUUACAUAGGUUAGUAGAUUUUUACUUGCAUCAAGUCCUAAGUGCCAAUGGCAAGUAAAAACAGGAAGCUCGGGUCACGGACACAGCUCGGCGAUGGCGAAAACGAGCGGUGUUGACAACGGCAGCGCACACACACGGCAGAGGGCAGCCUCCUUCCUUCCCUCACCGUUCACUCCCUCACGACUCUCUCUCACUCGUUGUCUCCAUCGCUCGCUUGCUGCGCUCGGUGCCUCACUCUCUCACUCGCUCAAUCACACGAGCACUUUGCUCCUUCUAAUUGUUAAUUAAGUUAGUUAUUUGCAUGCAGGUUGCGGUGGCUACACGAGAAGAAGACAGAUGGGGGAGGCGUGUCUUCAGUUGGAGGUUUCUUGGUCUUCGUUGGUAGCCCCACACCGAAGCAACGUGGCCAUCAUUGGCCUUGCUUCAGUCAACAUUUCUUCUUCAUGGUUGACUAGUGUAUUGAUUAAAUGGAGACGAACUUGGGCGGCAUUGGACAUGGACGAUUCCUCCUCUUCGCGUGGGUAUGCAUGUUCCUCAUGCAUGGCCGAAUUUCAUUCUUUCGGCUCUCAAAAUCAAUUGAUCAAAGUCCAAAUUCCUCUCUCACUUUAUAUACACUUAGGUGGUCUAGUUGCGUAGUGUCAUCAGGACAAGUGUGCACGGAUCAGCGGGAUCUAAAAUGGUGCCAAUGAUGAUGAUGAUACGAAGGGGUUCAAUAUCGGUGUCGACGACGAAGUCCGAUAACAAUUUCGUCAAUCUGCAACUUAUCAUCAUUUUUCUGGGGUCGGCAAAAUAGUAGCAAUGAGGUUGGUCUCACCAAUGACCUUAAGUAAAGGGAUUUCAACAAGAUUAUAAUUUAUCCGACAAUUGGACCAUUACUAAAUGAGGCAUAACAGUCCGAUGAUGAUAACAAAACGAUGCCUGUAGGUAAUGUCAGUAACUCAGUCCGACAACACUUCCAUCGAUUAGUCACGGAUAGUUGUAUAUUCGGGGGUCGUCGAAAUUCUCAGAUGCCACAAUUCUCCCCUCCUUAGAGAAUUUCAUCCUCAAAAUUGGACAUCACUCAUGUCUCAUUGAACAAAUGAGGGUAGCUUUCCCUCAUUUCUUUUUCACUUUCCCUCGUGGCCUCUUUCAUAUCAUGAUGUCGCCAUAACAUCUUAACUAAUGGAAUUUUCUUUGUCCGAAGGACUUGCUCCUUUCGAUCUAGUACCCAGAUUGGCUCUUCCAGGUACCUCACUUUCUCAUCCACUUUGAUGGCUUCAUGAUCGAGUAUGUGUCUAGGAUCUGACUGAUACUUCCUCAGCAUUGAUACAUGGAACACAUCACGUAAAUUUUCCAGUUUAGGAGGUAAUGCUAGCCGAUAAGCUACGUCUCCUAUCCUUUCAAGUAUCUCAAAGGGUCCAACAAAUCUGAGACUUAACUUGCCCUUCAUCCCAAAUCGUAAUACUCCUUUCAUUAGGGAUACCUUAAGAAAUACAUGGUCUCCUACGAUAAAUUCCAAAGGCCUUCUACACUUAUCUGUGUAGCUUUUUUGUUGACUUUGGGCUGUCUUAAGUCUUUUCCUGAUGAUCUCAAUAGCCUCUGUAGUAAUUUGCAUUAGUUCAGGUCCUGUCAUUGUUCUUUGACCUACCUCACUCCAACAAACAUGAAUCCUGCACCUCCCAUAUAAUGCCUCAUAGGGAGCUAUGCCUAUACUUUUCUAAAAACUAUUGUUAUAUGCAAAUUAUACCAGAUUCAACUUUUCAUCCCACCUUCCUUUAAAAUUAAUGACGCAAGCUCUUAACAUGUCCUCUAGUGUUUGGAUCACUCUUUAUGUUUGUCCGUCUGUCUACGAAUGAAAAGCAGUACUAAACUGGAGUUUGGUCCAUAAGGCAGUUUGAAGACUUCGCUAAAGCUUUGAAGUAAAUCUUGGGUCUCGAUCCGACAUAAUAGUCAUAGGAACACCAUGUAAGCGUACUACUUGGCUUACAUAAAUGUCCGCAUAUUUAUCCAUUGGAUAGUCUAAACGAACUGCCAGGAAAUGGGCGGACUUAGUCAAGCAAUCUACUUUCGCCCAAAUAGAGUCGUGACCACUUGAUGUCCUUGGUAACCCUUGCAUGAAAUCCAUUGUCACAUGCUCCCAUUUCCACUCUGGUAUGUCUAAUGGUCUCAACAAUCCUGCAAGUUUGCAGCGCUCUUCAUGUUAAACACUGGGAGACGUGCUUAGCUAUAUUUGCUUUCAUGCCAUUCCGCCAAUAUUGUUGGCGUAAAUUCAUGUACAUCUUUGUACUACCCGGAUGAAUACUAUAAUUACUCCUAUGUGAUUCUGACAGGAUUUUCUUUUUUAUCCUUUCAUCAUCAGGAACACAUAGUCGUCCCUGACACCUUACUAUUACAUCCUCAGAGACUUGAAAUUCUAGUCUCUUUCCUAAAGACACUCCAUUUCGUACUUUCACAAUUUUCGGGUUGGACUCUUGCAAAAUUCUAACUUUCUGGAUAAUCUCUGGUUCAAUCCUUAACACAGUAAGCAUACCGGUGAGAUAAUCUAUUUCCAACUUAAAUUCUGAAUCUGCUAUCGUUUCCAACAAAUUUCAUUAUGUUACCCUCAUACUGGCCAUCUCUAUAGUCGACUUACAACUAAGAGCAUCUGCCACUUUAUUUGCCUUUAGAGGAUGGUAUCGUAUUUCACAAUCAUAAUCCUUUAACAAUUGCAUCCACCUUCUUUGUCGCAUGUUCAAUUCUUUUUGUGAAAACAAAUAUUUCAAACUCUUAUGAUCUGUAUAGAUUUCAAAUUUCUCUCCAUACAGAUAAUGCCUCCAUAUUUUCAAAGCAAAAACUCUAACUGCCAAUUCUAAGUCAUGAGUUGAGUAGUUCAAUUGAUGAUGUUUCAACUGUCUCAAUGCAUAGGCUAUGACCUUGUAGUGCUGCAUCAGAACGCAUCCCAAUCCUUUGUGAGACGCUUUACUAUACACCAUUAAUCCAUCAAAACCAGAUGGUAUAGUUAGAAUUGGAGCCGUGGUCAAUCUUCUUUUAAGUUCUUGGAAACUCCUUUCACAUUCUCCAUUCCAUUCGAAUUUUAUGUUUUUUCGAGUCAAUUUUUUCAAUAGACCCGCAAGUCGUGAGAAUCCUUCAAUAAACCUUCUGUAAUAGCUUUCCAAUCCUAAAAAACUCCGUAUCUCAGUCGGCGUUGUGGGUCUUGGCCAAUUUACGACCAUUUCAACUUUCGCUGGGUCUACUACAAUUCCUUCUCCUGACACCAUGUGUCCUAAAAAUAUUAUUCGGUCUAGCCAAAAUUCACACUUACUGAAUUUGGCAUAUAACUUAUGGUCUCUAAGGGUUUGCAACACUAUCUUCAGGUGUCGCUCAUGCUCUUCAAGUCCUCUAGAAUAUAUUAGGAUAUCAUCAAUGAAGACAAUCACAAAUUGAUCCAAAUAGGGCUUAAAUAUCCUAUUCAUCAAAUCCAUGAAUGCAGCCGGGGCAUUCGUUAGUCCAAAUGGCGAGUUCUAAAUGCGGUAUUAAGAAUGUCUUCUUUCUUGAUCCUUAGUUGGUGAUAUCCCAAUCUCAAGUCAAAUUUAGAAAAGACCGAACUUCCUUGCAAUUGGUUGAAUAGGUCAUCAAUUCUAGGUAAGAGAUAUUUAUUCUUAAUGGUCAUCUAAUUUAGUUGCCUAUAGUCAAUACACAAAUGCAUUGACCCGUCCUUCUUUUUCACAAACAAGACCGGUGCACCCCAAGGAGAAGCACUUGGCCUAAUAAAUCCUUUAUCAAGCAACUCUUGUAGUUGCACCUUCAACUCUUUCAAUUCCAUCAAGGCCAUCCUAUACGGGGCUUUCGAUAUCGGUUCUGUUCCAGGCAUUAGUUCAAUCUCGAACUCAAUUUCUCGUUAUGGUGGUAACCCGGGCAGUUCCUCAAGAAAUACAUCCUGAAAUUUCCUGACCACUCGAAUUUCAUCGAGCUUAGUCUCUUCCUUCAUAUAGUUCUUUACCACUGCCACGUACCCUUGACAUCCUUCCUCAAGUAGUGCAUGGGCUUCUAUUACUGAAACAAGAGCUAUAGAGGGGUUUGUCUGACCUCCGAAAAAUUCAAAAAUAGACCAGUCAAGUGAAACAAACUGGAUCACCUUUUUAUAGCAAUCCACCUUACCCUGAUGGUUAUGGAGCCAGUCCAUUCCUAUGAUGACAUCAAAGUCAUACAUAACCAUCACAACUAGGUCUAUUUCCAUAUUCCGAGCCCCCUACGGUUAUUUUACAGUUUUUGCAAAUCAACGUGGACGACACCAUAUUCUUUAGCGGUGUAGAAACGUAAAGAGGCGUCUCAAGAGAUGUAGUUUCUACCUUUCUCAAUUGUCUAUACCUUUUAGACACAAAAGAAUGCAUAGCACCCGUAUCAAACAACACAUAUGCCUUCUUGUCAUUUAUAGAAAUCAUACCUGAGAUAACAUUUUUGGAAGAUUCCGCUUCCUCUCGGGUGACUGCGUACACCCGUCUUUAUGCUAGUGGUCUCUGUGGAUUCCUUGGUGGAUGUCGUCCAGUUGCACGUUGUUACAUUUGUUGCACCGAGCUGACAUUCGGUUGUGACCCAUCUUGUGGACAAUUUCUCUUAAAGUGUCCUAUUUGCCCACAAACAUAACAUCUCAGCUGGUUAUUACAAGGUCCUAGUCCAUGUUGUCCACCACACCUCUAGGAAACAUUACCCUGGUAGGGUACUCUCCCAAAAAUCGGGCCACUCUUGGCUUUUUCAAAAUUCCUAAAGUUACUCUUUUUCUUAGAUUCCCAAGGCUGACCUCGAUCAGGAUAGGGUCUUUUACCUCAUCGAACAUCACUAAAGGUCGAUUGCCUCUUAGACUCUAAUUGUUCUCUCAUUAAUUCCUGCUCCACUAGCUGUGCCCUUUCAUAAAUCUCAAUAUAAUCUCUUAUAUUUAGAGGCACCAGUUGUUUCAUAAUAUCUAUCCUUAACCCCUUUAGGAAUCUCUUAGCCUUUUCCUCUCGUUCCUCAAUCAACCUAGGAGUAUACCUUGACAAUUCAAAAAAUUUUGCUUCAUACUGAUCUACCGUCAGCUCCAUUUGUUCUAAUUGAACAAAUUCUACGAUUUUCUUAUCUCUAGCACAGUCAGAGAAAUGCUUUCUAUUGAAAGCUCUAAUAAACUCAUUCCAAUUUAUAUCAGUACCGGGUGCAAAGAUCAUGUCUCUUGAAGCUCUCCACCAAAAUUUUGCAUUUCCCUCCAAUUGGUACUCUGCCAAGGAUAUCUUUUCAGCAUCAUUACAGUUUAACAACCGGAAAAUUUGUUCUAUUCCAUCAAUCCAUUGCUCCGCCUCCUCAGGACUUCCCAUUCCACUAAACUUAGGUGGUUUCAACUUCAAAAAUUGUUCCACCAGUCCUUGAGUACGGCAUUCUGUUCCGGGUUGUUGCUGUUGUUGCUGAGCUUUUCUUUCCAUCAAAUUUCCUAUAUUGGCCAAUGCUUGCAGGAUAUCUUCCAUCCGUGGUUCAGCCCUUGAAGCAAAGGCUUCAGCCCUCGAUGGGUGAGAACUCCCAGUUCAUACCAUAAUUUCUUGCAGUUUUCCAAGCAUUUACCUCAGGAAAAUUCAUGGCUUGAUGUCACUAGUCGAGUAAUAAAAUAAAGGUGUUACGAAAGUCACAUAAGUAACAUAAAAUGUUACUGACACACAAAGGUAACUCACAAUCGUUACCAAUAUUCUAUGAAUGAAAAUCAAUCACUUGUUGUUCAUAGUUAGUCAACUGCCCUUCGUUAGUAUCCUUUGGUGUGCAUUGUUAUAUCCUCAUUUCCAUCUAAGGCACCUUAUCACUCCAACUAAACCUUUGCUUAUACCAACCACUGUGGCACCCCCUCAUGGCCCCCAAUCCAUUAGGGUCUCCACAGUUAACUUGCUUUCUCUUGACCUGAUAGUCUAAUACUCUAAUACCAUAGAAUUUUGGUAAGUCCAUGAGGUCCGGAUUCUAUACCUUUUUCAUUGGCCCUGGGCAAAAUAUGGUGGAAGCGUACCCAACAUCUCCCUUUCCCAUAUUCACAAACAAUGCACACCAACUAAACCUUCUUAUAAGUAAAGGUUGGACACUUUUAUUUACAUAAAACUAGAUGGACAAAGGAUUAUCGGUACAUCAAAAUGCCAUAGCUUUCUAUACAUGGCCAUAUUUCAAAAUAUGCUAACAUUUCUAAUAACCAUAAAUACAGAGUCCAUCAGUUAGUGCCGAGUCCAAAAAUUUCCUUCCUUUGCUGUCCCUGGCUCGCAGUCACUCCCAUUCGUCUGGUCCAUCUAUUGGUGGUGGCGGUAAGGGCCUCGACGUGCGUCCAUCUCGGCGGACGAAAGCAGUAAUGUACUCCAGAAGUACAGGGCCGGCUGGAGGACCAAUAUCAAACACCACUAUCACUCGUACCCGUUCAAAUACCAGUCCUCGAAUCUCAAGGAGAUGAUGUUCUGACCGUUCCCAUUGCAGGUCGACCAGGACUCCAUAAAAUGUGCUGGGAGAUACAGGUAGCAGAGGCAUCUCAUCUAAUUUGAAAUGUUAGUCCCCAAAAAGGGGUAAGUACAACCAUCGAGCAGUAAAAGAUCCACUAACUAUGUCGUGCAGAACCCUCACUAUCCAAUCUGAUGCAAGGUAGACAAAACAUGUAAUCAAACGGAGGAGUAUGCACUAAACCGGUAGAACUUUUAAAAAUAGUAGUGAAUGCAGUUUCAAAACCAAUGCACAUUGUUUCAAACACAUACCCCCCCCCCCCCCCGGUUUAUAGACUAAACUAUUAUGACACGUCUCAUACCGUGCCACACAAUUUUUGUCCAAUAAAUAGGCAUCACUUAUUAGGACCAUCAAUUUUAAUAUUCAAAAAGAUUUUUCUCCUGGAGGACCAGUGUUAGCGUCCCUCCGAGCAUUCGCACCCAACCUGGCAUCUCGAAAGCCUCCGGUUUUCAAUCACCGGGCAUCCAGAGCGUGCUACGUCGCACCUCUUGGGCAUUUCGCACACCACCUGGCAUCACAAAGAAUCUCCGGGCGUGCCAUGAAAAUGGUUACCCCUACCCUCCGAAAUUACGUACCGACAUACCACCGGGCAUCCUGACAUUCCCGGGGAACCUUUGAGGCUCUGUGGACCACAAGCAUCCAAAGGCAUCGACCCCUACGAUCCUUAUGGGCAUCUCGACUCCUGCGGCAUCAUUGACCUGAGGGUCCAAUGGCAACAGUAUCAUCUCAUAUUAUUUGAAUAAAACAUUUUCAAUGUAAUGACAUUGGAUGUCCCAUGAGUUUUCAUCAAAUCAUAGUGUUGAAUAAUAUGCUGAAUGCCAACACCAUCAUAUCAAAUGAUAAAAAUCAAGAUGCGUUCACCCUUGAGAUAAAUUGAGCAAACUCGGAAUAAAACAGCUCAAAAAUCAGAAUGCACAGUUUUAGUAAAAAUUUUGGAAUAACCCCUAAACGAAUUCAGAAAAUUCUAAAAUUUUAAUAUGUUAUAAACAAGAUCUAAAGGAAAGAAUUUCAUGCAGAACACUAAGCCAAAUUCUUCAUAUAUAAAUGGCAACUAAUCUCACAACUCAGCCCUAAACUUCUUCUAUUGACAGAAUCUAUACUUUGGCAGAAAAGUACUUCCCUUUAAAAGAAAUUUGUGCCUCUGUAUUGAUUUCAAAAAACUGACCAAAAACAUAUGUCUUAUUUUAAACAAUUCCUCACAACUUUCAUGAAGAAAUCGGAACCAAAAUCUCCCUAGAACUGUCUCUAGAAAAUCUACAAAAUUGCCGAGUUACACUUGAUCUAAUUCAGACACUAUGUAUUCAGUAGGAUCCCACGCUUAUACCACGGCUAUUUCACUUCCAAAAUUUCACCACAGAUUGUUCUUUUAAUCAUAGUUCAACGAAAGCAUAAUGUAUGGAGAUAUCCAAAGUAUUUCCUCAAUUCUUUGGUCCCAAUCUACUGCAAUCACUCAAUAAUCCAGCAUUCAGCAUCCAAAUUCAGACAUCCUCAAGUCUAUUUGCACUACCUCAGGAAAUAGCAGCCUUGCAUUGCAUAGGUUAGUAGACUUUUACUUGCCUCAAGUUCUACGCGCUGACGGCAAGUAAAAAUAGGAAGCCCGGGUCAUGGACACGGCAAACAUGAGCGGUGUCGGUGGCAGCAGUGCACAUGCACGGCAGAGGGCAGCCUCCUUCCUUCCCUCGCCGUUCACUCCCUCACGAAUCUCUCUCGCUUGUUCUCUCUUUCGCUCGCUCGGUGUCUCACUCUCUCACUCGCUCAAUCACACGAGCACUUUGCUCCUUCUAAUUGUUAAUUAAGUUAAUUAUUUGCAUGCAGGUUGCGAUGGCUGCACUAGAAGAAGGCAGAUGGGGGAUGGUGUGUCUUCAGCUGGAGGUUUCAUGGUCUUCGUUGGCAGCCCCACACCGAAGCAACGUGGCCAUCAUUGGCCUUGCUUCAGUUAACGUUUCUUCUUCGUGGUUGACUAGUGUAUUGAUUAAAUGGAGAAGAACUUGGGCGGCAAUGGACGUGGAUGAUUCCUCCUCUCCGCGUGGGCAUGCAUGUUCCUCAUGCAUGGCCGAAUUUCAUUCUUUCGGCUCUCAAAAUCAAUUGACCAAAGUCCAAAUUCCUCUCUCAUUUCAUAUACACUUAGGUGGUAUAGUUGUGUAGUGUCAUCGGGACAAGUGUGCAUGGGUUAGCGGGGUCUAAAGUGGUGCCAAUGAUGACGAUGAUACGGCAGGGUUCAACAUCGGUGUCGACAAUGAAGUCCGAUAACAAUUUUGUCAAUCUGUGAUGUAUCGUCAUUUUUCUGGGGUCGGCAAAAUAGUAUCAAUGAGGUUGGUCUCACUAAUGACCUUAAGUAAAGGGAUUUCGACAAGAUUAUAAUUUAUCCAACAAUCAAACCAUUACUAAAUGAGGCAUAACAGUCCAAUGAUGAUAACAAAACGAUGUCCGUAGGUAGUGUCAGUAGCUCAAUCUGACGACACUUCCAUCGAUUAGUCAUAGACAGUUGUACAUUCGAGGGUCUUAAAAAAUUUUUAGAUGCCACACAGUGCAUCAGCGACCUUGUUCGCCUUUCUAAGGUGUUACAAGAUAUGACAAUCAUAAUCCUUUAGAAAUUCCAUCCAGCGACACUGUUUGAUAUUCAACUUCUUCUGAGAUAAUAGGUACUUGAGACUUUAAUGGUCUAUGAAGAUCUGAAAUCUUUCUCCACACAAAUAGUGUCUCAAAAUCUUUAGAGCAAAAAUAAUUGUUGCGAGUUCUAAGUCAUGCGUUAGAUAAUUCCGCUCAUGAGGUCUCAAUUGACGGGACUCGUAUGCAACAACCCUACCAUGUUGCAUUAGCAUGCAACCCAAUCCUCUAAAUGAUGCAUCACUAUAGAUCUUGUAUCCUCUAAGACCAAAUGGUAUGGUUAGCACAGGUGCGGUAGUUAGCUUCUGCUUAAGCUCUUGGAAACUACACUCGCACUUGUCCAUCCACAUGAACUUCUCUUCCUUCUUCAAUAGUCGAGUCAACGGUGAGGCUAAAACUGAAAAAUCUUCCACGAACCUUCUGUAAUACCCUGCUAAACCCAAAAAGCUUAUGAUCUCUAUCACUGUAGUCGGUCUUGGCCAAUUGAUAGCCGCUUCAAUCUUGGUCGGGUCCACAGAGAUUCCUCCGCCUAAAAUCACGUGACCUAGGAAAGCAAUACGAGUCAACCAAAACUCGCACUNNNNNNNNNNNNNNNNNNNNNNNNNNNNNNNNNNNNNNNNNNNNNNNNNNNNNNNNNNNNNNNNNNNNNNNNNNNNNNNNNNNNNNNNNNNNNNNNNNNNNNNNNNNNNNNNNNNNNNNNNNNNNNNNNNNNNNNNNNNNNNNNNNNNNNNNNNNNNNNNNNNNNNNNNNNNNNNNNNNNNNNNNNNNNNNNNNNNNNNNNNNNNNNNNNNNNNNNNNNNNNNNNNNNNNNNNNNNNNNNNNNNNNNNNNNNNNNNNNNNNNNNNNNNNNNNNNNNNNNNNNNNNNNNCGAUCUUUGAAAAAUAUCGACGCUUCUUGCAGGUGAUCAAACAAGUCGUCGAUCCUCGGCCAGUGGAUACUUGUUCUUGAUCAUCACUUGAUUAAGUUGACGAUAAUCGAUGCAUAGGCACAACGAACCAUCUUUCUUUUUCACGAACAAAACCGGUGCUCCCCAAGGUGAUGCACUAGAACAUAUGAAUCCCUUAUCCAGUAAUUCAUGCAUCUGCACCUUCAGUUCCUUCAACUCAGACAACGUCAUCUGGUAAGGAGUCUUAGAAAUUGGCUCUGUCCCAAGUGCUAACUCGAUCACGAAUUCAAUCUCCCUCUUUGGCGGUAAGCCUGGUAAUUAUUUUGGGAACACAUCUAGAAACUCUUGUACCACAAUGAUGUCUUCGAUCUUCAGUUCGUCAACUGUCGUAUCCACGACAGUUGCUAAGUAACCUUGGCAACCCCCAUCUAACAAACGGGUUACCUCAAGUGACAAUAUUAAGGAAAUUGAGGGUCCUUUUCAACUCUCAAUAAACUCGAAACUUUCAUCCGCUAACGGGUUAAACUGAAUCGAUUUACGAUAGUAGUCCAUCUUAGCUCAUUGCUUGGUGAGCCAGUCCAUGCCAAUUAUUACGUCAAAAUCAUACAUGGCUAAGACUAUCAAAUCUAUCCUCCCCUCUUGCUCACCAAUUGCUAACUUGCAACUAGGACAACCCACUGUAGCUAACACCUUAUCCUUUAAUGAUGUAGAUAUGCUAACCACCGACUCCAACAACCCAUGAAUCAAUCCUACCAGCUUAACAAAUUGUUUAGCUAUAAACGAAUGAGUUGCACCAGGGUCAAAUAAAGCAUAAGCAACAUGGUCAUUCAGCGAAACAGUACUUGUAAUCACAUCAGGCGAGUCCUCGGCUUGUCCUUUAGUGAUAGCGUACGUCCUUCCUUGAGCUAGAGGCCUAUUCAGUCCACCCUAUUGUACGAUCUAUGGCACAAAUCCUUGGUUCUUACCCAUCGGUGGUGGCAGUGGUAAUUACGGCAGUCCCAUCGGUCUUCUAGGACAAUUCCUGGCCAUGUAACCCUGCUGGCCACACUCAAAACAAGCACCCGACCUAGAAUGGCAUGGGGCCAAUCCAUGUCAUCUUCCGUAGAAACGACACACACCAUUCUAUCUUGGCGAUGACCUUCCUCUUCCACUCUUCCUGCUAGGUGGAAUAGGGUACCUUCCCCCAGUCAUAGGUUUCUUCCCACACCUAUUUCCAUCCUACUCGAACCAAACUGUGACCCAGAUGCAGCGGUUUAUUCAUUCUAGUCUCUCUCUAUCAGCUAGGCCCAUUCAUACAGGUCGUUAUAGUCUUUCAAAUUGAAUGGCACCAUCAAAAUCCUCAACUCCUAUCUAAGCCCAUCUCUGAAUCUUCUAGCUCAAUCGACUAGAUCCUCGAUAAGUCUAGGGUUAUACUAUGACAGUUCAACGAACUUCGCUUCAUACUAAUCUACAAUUAUUGUACCUUGGCGAAGGUACUGGAAUUCAGUCAUCUUCAACUCUCUAGCACUGUUAGAAAAGUAUUUGCCGUCGAAUACUUCAACGAAGGCAUUCCACUCCAAAACCACACCUUUUGGAAACACAACUCCUGUGGUGGUCCUCCACCAAGCGCUUGCAAUCCCCUACAACUGACAGACUACAAGCAAGCGAACAGUGAAGAGGAACAAGGGACCGCCUUCUGCCGUGCUUGAGUUGUCGUUGUCGUCGCCGCUACUCUUUGUCGUCGUUGAGUUGAGCCCAAGACCCACGAGCCCCUGUUUUGCUUGCAAUUGAGCUAAAGAACUAGAGGCAAGUGAAAGUCCAUUGAUCUAUAUAAUGCAAUGCUGUUGUGGUCUAAUGUACUGCAAUAGACUUGGAGAUGUUGGAGUUGUGGAUGUUGGAUGCUGGAUUUUGGAUGAGUAGAAAUUGAUUGAGAAAUUGAGGAAACGCUUUGGUUUUUAUAGGUGCUUUUAAAUUCCUUUGAAUGACAUUAUGAAAUAUAGUUUUGGAUGGAUUUUUUAAAGUAAAAUUACCUAAGGAAUAGGCAACGGAUUCCAUUGGAUCCCUGUGGUCCGGAGUUGCUCAUGUGUAGCCUAGUGAUUUUGUUGAUUUUCUAUAGAAAUCUCUAGUAUGAUUUUGGUCUCGAUUUCUUCACGAAAGUGUAGAGAAUUGUUUAAAAUAUAACAUAUAUUUUAGUCAGAUUUUUCAAAAUUCAUAUAUAGUGGCAUAAAUCUAUUUUAAUGUUCGGUACUCUACUGUUGAAGUGUAAAUUCUGGAAUAAAUUUGGGGCUGAGUUAUGCGACUUGUUGCAAUUCACACAUAACUAUUUUGGCUUAGUGUUCUGCAUGAAGCUUUUUCCUUUAGGCCUUAUUUAUAACAUAUACAAAUUUUAGAAUUUUCAGAGUUCAUUUAGGGGUUAUACCAAAAUUUUUACUAAAAUUGUGCAUUCUAAUGUUUGAGCUGUUUUAUUCCGAAUUUACUCAAUUGUCCCAAAGGUGAAUGCAUCUUGAGUUUAUGGCAUCCUAGAAUUUCUUGUCAAUCCUUAGAGGUGCUUUAAUUCAUGUUUUGCAUUGAGAUUUUGGCCAAGCUUUUGAUGGGUAAUUAUUUGAUAGGAAAAUUCUAUUUUUUUGGCCAUGUGAUUUAUGGGUUGGAAUUUAUUAAAUUAGGUCACAAAGUUUUGUGAAUUAUAAAUUUCACUUAGGUGUUUAUAUAAUUAAGGUUAAAGUGGAUUAUUAGGAUGAGAGUGGGCUGGACAUUUAAAGACCAAACCAGCCCAUAGCCCCACCCCUUUUUCGACUGGCCCACGAAGCCCAAGGAGGAGGAGCUGCCGUCGACCAAGGCUAGCCCAAGCCCAGCCAGAUGAAGCCCAUCAUGUGCAUGGGAUAAUUGACAAGUGUUAUUCCCCUAAGUCCAAGUGUCUUGCAUGCAAUCAAAUGAUUGCUCAUCAUUGAAAGGAAGAAAAUAGGAGAACCGGCUUGAUGAUGAGGGGGGGUGUCGACCGAGAGAGAGAGAGAGAGAGAGAGAGAGAGAGAGAGAGAGAGAGAGAGAGAGAGAGAGAAAUCGAGAGAGAGGGAGAGUGAGUGUGCAGGAGAAGAAGGAAGGAAGCCGAUCAUUGCCGUUCACUGCCGUCGAGUCCGCCUCGCCCUCCAUUCGUGCUUGCUGUGUUCGCUUGGUUUGGAGGCAAGUGGGAUCCCUUGAUCUACUCUUGCAUGCUGUUCUUAGUGUGUGUGAUUGAAUGGUAACAAUUUUGCAUGUAUAGAAUGUGAAAAAUUGAAGUUAUAAGAGUGGUGCUCUAGUCUAGUGUACUGUUCUUGAGAAAAACAGCUCAACCUUGGAUGUUCUAGUGACUUGCAUGUGAUGUUCUAGUUGAAUUUUGGCUUUGAUCUCUAAACAAAAGUUGUAAAGGACAUCCUGAAGUUUAACAUAUCAAAAAUUUAGUGAAAAAAAACAGACUAGGUAGGUGAAAUCAUGAUUCUUUUGGAGAGGGUUAGAUCUGGAAAUUUUGGUACUAGGAACAGGGGUUUUACCAUCCAUAUCUAACUACCUAGGACGAAUCUGACAUUGAUGUCUGCAUGAAUUAUCUACCUUAUGGUCUUGGAUAUCACAUAGUCCAAUUUCAUAAUUUUUGAAGGUCAUUUGGGUAUUUAAUUGGAAAUGUUUCUAAAACUGUGCAAUCUGAUGUGUUCGGACUUUGUAAGUUGCAAUGCGUGGACUAUAUCGUUUUUUAUGAGGUUAUUUUGGAAAUGUGUUCUGCAUGAAAUAUCUCUCUUCAUGUCUUCCAUACAACAUAUUCAAAUUUCGUAAUUUUUGAAGUUCAUUUUCCUAUUUAACCAAAAAUGUUUCAAAAACUGUGCAAGUUGAACUGUUAGAAUAGUAGGGCUGUGAUGCAUGAUCUAUAGCGAAUUAUAUGGGGAUCUGUCGGUGUAGUGUUCUUCAUGAAAUAUCUGUCUUUAUGUCUUGACUAUCACAUUUUCGAAUUUCAUAAUUAUUUAAGGUCAUUUAGGUAUUUAAUUAAAAAAAUUUCUAAAACUGUGCAAGCUGGAUUGUGUGAAUUUCAAAAGCUGUAAUGCAUGGACUAUUCUGUUUUGUAUGAAAUUCUGGUGGUUUUGUGUUCUUCAUGAGAUAAAUGCUUCUAGAGCUUUUCUAUGAUGUAUUAAAUUCUUAAAAAUUUUUAGGGCCAAUCACUAAAUUUUAAGAAGUGUAAAUUAAAAGAACGCAUUCCGUUUCUAAAAUAAUAGUAAUAAUCCAUGAGUUUGCCCCAUGAAUUAUAUUGUUUUAAGUAAUUGAAUCUUGUUGCACAUGUGAUGAUAUUUGGCAUUACAUAUAAAAUCAAAGUAUGAAAUUGACCUUGUUGCCAUCACAUCAUGUGCCAUGUUGAUAUUGAGACACAAAUGUGAAUAUGAAUUAUGAUAAAUGAGGAUACCGUUGGAGGUGUGAGCCGACGAUGCCACGGGAGUGUCGGGAUGCCCAGAGGUGAGUGCCGGAUGCCUGGAGGUGUGUGCUGGAUGUCCUCGGGAGUUUUGAGAUGCCCGAAGGUGAGUGUCGGAUGCCCGGAGGUGUGUGCCGAAUGUCCUUGGGAGUUUCGAGAUGCUCGGAGGUGUGUGCCGGAGGUUCCUCACAAUGACAGGUUGGGUGCGAGCGAUAAAAUGUGGGAUGCAAUUAUUGGUCCCAGGACAGAAAAAUGUGGUGACCCAAUGGAAAGAUAAAAAGCUGAAAUUGAAUCAUACAUCGUAUGGUGACAGGUAUGCAUGGCUGUAUGAUAUAAUAUGUGCAUGGUGGUAUGUGCACAUAAGGCAUGGACAUGCAUGAAUGCUUGAUGAUGAGUGCAUGGUGGUAUGUGCACAUAAGGCAUGGAUAUGCAUGAAUGCUUGAUGAUGAGUGCAUGGCUGUAUAUGCACAUAUGGCAUGAUGGUAUAUGCAUAAAUGCUUGAUGAUGAGUGCAUGAUGGUAUAAGCACAUAUGGCAAGAUGACGUAUGCAUAGUUGCAAGGUAAGUUAUGCUUAGAUGCAUCAGUGAUAUGUGUUUUGUUUAUGAUGCCUUGAUUGUUCUGUUUGAUGCAUUGAGUAGUUUAAUGGAUCUUUUACCUGCUGAGUGGUUGUACUCAUCCAUUUGGGGACUAACAUUUUAGAUUAGAAUGAUGCCUCUCCCUCCGGUCACGCGGGGUACCUUUUAUGGCCUUCCAUCUAACGUGGAGGUCGAGUGUAUGGAGCUUGAUUAUGUCACCAUCCCUAGUUUGGUGUUCAUAUGGGUUCGUGUGUUGGUCAUGUAUGAUGUGGGCAUGGCCAGGGGCCCGGUCAUCCAAGGGUUCUUGUCUGUCCACGUCCACUGUGACGGAGUGAUGCGGGGGAUGUUGCCACCACCACCGCCGAUGAAUCAGGGUGGGUGUGAUGGCCCGCUUGAGGACUGGGAGCUGACACUUUUUGGGGAUAGCCGACACUUGUAGAUGGAGGGUUAUACGUGAUUGAUAUAGGGGGUCGAGAUCUCUCUUUUGAGCUAUGGCCAAGUUUAGCUAAAAGUCUUGGCUUUUUGGUUGUACCGACCCAAGAUGUCCAUCAUGAAAAUAUAAAUAAGAGUGAAUCGACAACAUCUUUUCUUAUGGUGCGUAGUUGGUGUGCAUUGUAUCAUUGUUAUGGGAGUAGAGGGAUGGUGUGACUUCUCCUUAUAUUUGCUAUGCGCUGCGCUAGAUUAAAAAAAAAAUGCCUAUGAACUACGGUUCUUCUUUAACUUCGAAACAAAGAUAUGUAACUGGUAUUCAUUUGGUGGAGCGAUAGGUCUCUGUGGCGACCUUAGUUGUUUGGGGGUGCCACAGGGUUGUUAUUUCACAUGAUGAUAUUUAGGGGUGUCAGUAACCGAACCGAAAAUCGAACCGAACUAAAAAAUUCAUUUUUUUAUUCGAUUUUCAUUCGGUUCGGUUUUCAUUAAAAAUCGAAAUUUUUUGGUUCGGUUCGGUUUUUAUCGGUUAAUUGAACCAAAUCGAACCAACAAAUGAAAGUAGAGAAGUAUGAGUUUAAUAGAAAAAAAACGAAAACCGAAAAUGAAAGGUUAAAAACCAAAAACCGAAAGACCGAACCAAACCGAACCGAACCGUUGACACCCCUAAUGAUAUCGGCAUUCAUCAUAUCAUUUAAUAUUGAGAUUUGAUGAGACUCAUGGGACAUCUUGUCAUUGCAUUGAAAAGUGUUUUUGAUAUUAAGAUGUUAAUCGUUACCGUUGGACCUUUAGGUCAACGAUGCCCCAGGAGUCGGGAGGCUAAGAGGAUCGAAUGAAUUGAUGCCUUGUGGAUGCCUGGGGUCCAUAGUGCCGCAGAGGAAUUCCUUGUGAGCAUCGAGAUGCCCUGUAGUAGGUUGGUACAUAAAUCCAGAAGGUAAGGGUAACCAUUUUCAUGGCGAUACCCAGUGAUUCCUCAUGACGCCAGAUGGGGUGCGAGAUGCCUGGUGGUGUAACGCAACACGCUCUAGAUGCAUUGUUGUAUUAUCAAUACAUGCCCAGAGGCUUCCGCGACACCAGGCUUGGUGCGUUAUCCCAGAAGGAUGCAAACAUUGGUCCUCUGGGGGGAUAAAACCUUUUGAAUGUUAAAACUGAUGAUUAUACUAAGUGUGAGUGUGGUCUGGUCAUGGGACUAAAUUGUUUGGCAUGGAAUGGGAUGUGUCAUAACAGUUUGGCCCUAUGAUCGGGACUCGUGUGACUAAACAUGAUGCAUUCUGUUUGUUGGAACUACACUAGUCAUUGCAUUGAACAGUUAUAUGGUUUAGAUGCAUACGCAUUUCUUUAUGACCUGUCUUGUCUGUCUUGGAUGAAACUGGAUCGUGAUGGCUUGCAUAGUAUAGUUUGAUGGAUCUUUUGUUGUUGAGUGGUUGUAGUCACCCCGUUUGAGGACUAACAUUUCAGACUAGAAGAUAUGCCUUUGCUACCAGUCACCCCCGGCACAUUCUAUGGUAUUCCAGUCGACCUUCACUUGGAGUGUUCGGAGCACCACCAUCCUGAGAUACGAGGGUUGGUUUUUGUUUGAGUGAGGAUACUGAUCAUGUUUGACAUUGGUCCUAGCGCCGGCCCAGUGCUUCAGGAGUUUCUGACUGCGUUUGUCCGCCGUGAUGGAAGUACGCUGGGGCCGUUGCCACCACCGCUAGCUAAUGGAUCGGACUGGGUGUGACCGAGAGUGAUGGUCAACAGAUGAAGCAUUUUUGGACCACCGACACUAACUAAUGAGCCUAUGUACUUGGUUUUUAAAAAGUCGAGUACUUUUUUAAAAUAGCCGAGUUUACAAUAAGCUUGGCAUUUUGAUGUACCAACCCAUGAUGUCCAUCUAGUUAUGUAAAUAAAAGUGUUUGGCUUUAACUUAUAAAAUGUUUAGUUGGUGUGCAUUGUUUCUAAAGAUGGAAUAGGUAGAUGUUGGAUAUGCUUUCGCUAUAUAAACUGCGCGGGGACCUAUAGAAAAAAUAUAAUCCCCCAGGAUUCAUGGAUUUGUUAAAUUUCUAUGGUAUCAAAGUAAUGGAUUUUCAGGUUAAGAGAAAGCAAAGGCAAGUGUGAUCUGUGGUGACCCUAACGGAUCGGGGGCUGUUCAGGGGGUGCCACAACGGGUGGUAUCAAAGCAUGUUUUUACUUGGAGUGAUAAGGUGCCAUAAAUGGAAUCAAGGGUAGAAUGAUGCACACCAUAGGACACUAACCAAGAGUAAUUGACUAACUUUGAAUAACGGGUGAUUGAUUUUCACUCAUAGAUCUCUAGUAGUUAUUGUGAGUUACCUUUGUGUGUCAGUAACAUUCUAUGUUACUUAUGUGACUUUAGUAAUAACCCUAUUUUUGUUAUCUAACCAAUGACAUAGAGCAACAAAUUAUUCCUGAGGGGAAUGCUUGGUAAACUGCAGAAAGAUAUGGUAUGAACUGGGAGUUCUCAUCCAUCGAUGGCUGAAGCCUAUGCUUUAAGGGUUAAACCCCAAAUGGAAGAUAUCCUGCAGGCGUUCGCCAACAUAUGAAAUUUGAUGGAAAGGCAACCUCUGUGGCAUCCCAAAUUUAAUGACAAGCCAUAAGGUGAGUUGAAAUUCCUAAUUAGGUGAAAGAAUUUAUUUUGGCUGAUGCCUUAGCCAAUUUGUCUUUUAAUUUGAUGAUUCGUGUAUUUAAAUUUAUAGAUUAAUAAUUGGCCAUGAGAUUAUAAAUUUAAAUCUUAAUAAACAAAGUGUCCCAAGACUUUGGCCAAGAUGAAAUUUGAAUUUGGAAAUAUUUAUAGAAAGGAAUUCAAAAAAAAAAAAGGGAAAAAGAGGGUUAUUUUUGGAAUGGGCCUUGGACCCAUUGGCCUAAAGCUUGGUAGGCCAAGCUUGUUAGCCCAUUAGAGCCCAAGAGGAGAGAAUUCGACCAGCCCAAGGGAGUGGCCGGAUAGGCCUAACCCCAAGCCCAUUCAAAUUCAAAAAAGUAAAAAUGACAAUUGGCAAGGGACAAGAGCAUGCAUUGGUGGGAUUAUAGGCAAAGCAAUGAUUGCUAAUGAUGGGAUUAAGGGGAUAUAAAAGGGAUGAGGAGAGAGAGAUGGCCGGUUCUUUGUUCAUUCGGCCAAGAGAGGUGUGUGAGAGAGAGAGAGUUUGAGAGAAAGGGAGAGAAACCGAGAGGGAAGGAGGCGGAGCGGAGGGGGUGUGCCGUUCGUUCGCCGUCCGAUCGUCGCCGUUCGUCGUUGCCUGUUCAUCUUUAAGGCAAGUGGAGUACAUAACUUCUCUUGCAUGUUUGUUGUGGUGUUUGCAUGUUAGAUUUUAGGUGUGAUUUGUGCGAAAAACCGAGGUAAGGGUUGGUUAUUUGUAAACCGUGUGACUGUUCUCGUUCGGUUUGUUGAAGUCAGUAGCUUGUUCGAGUUUGCAUGUGUGUUUGGGGUUCGAUUUUGGCUUCGGUGUCUUAAUGAAAGUUGAAGCUAACGUCCUGUACUAUGACAUACUAAAAAUUCGUAGAAAACGAUGGAGAUUUGAGGGGUCAAAAGUUCUAUUGUACGGAGACUUUAGAUCUGCGAAAUUUUCACUGACCUCUUGUUGAUUUCUUGAUUGCAUGUUGAUUUCUGUUGGAGAUCUCACUUUUUUGUCUUCUUGAAAGUUGUAGGAAACAAAUUAAACUACAACAUAUUCACAUUUGAAGCAAAAAUAACCAGUGUAGCUUGGUGAAUCGGUUAGAUCUUGAAAAAAUGGUUCUGGUGAAGUAUCUCGAGACACCCGAGACUUCAUGGACUAAAAUGGUGACCGUAAUCUGGUUAUUUGGCCUAGAUCUCUUCAUGAAACUUGUAAAGGACACCUUGUUACAUAACAUACUAAAAUUUCAGAAGAAACGAAAGAGAAUUGAUGGGUGAAAAUUAAGAAAUUCGGACGAGUAUGUUCUGGACGACGCGGUCGUGGUUCCAGAAGCUUCGUAGGGUUGUAGAAAUUAAUCUAAAAAGAAUUUGGCUUAGAGUUCUGCGUGAAAAAUGCACGAAAAUGUGUUGGCUAUCACCCUGUAAAAUUUCGUAAUUUUUGAAGGCCAUAUGUGUAUUUUAAUCGAAUUUAUUUGGAAACUGUGCAAGUCUGGCCAUUAUCCGAAUAUAUGGUGCUAUUUUGUGAAAAUUGUGAAAUUAUGAGAAAUUCAAUUUGGCCAUGAAUUUUGUAUGAAAUUGUGAUCCUAUUAAUUUGUUUAGUGAUUGUUUGAAUAUUAUGAUUUUGGGAAAAUCAUAGAUAUUAAAUUUAAUAUUUAUUUAUGAAAAAAAAUAAAUAUAAUAAAAUAAUAAAAUAAUAAUAAAAUAUAUUUUUAUUUGGCCAUGGAUUCAACUUCAUUUGUGUGGCACUUGUGUGAUGAGGUCUUUGUACAUGUAUUAAGUUGAAAUGCAUAUGUGAUUAAGCUUUGGCAUGUGUAUGACAUGUGAAUUGAAAUGCAAGUGUGAUUUGUUUGAUGCCAUGCCAAUUGCCAUGUUGAAUUGAGAUAAAAGGAUAAAUGUGGAUGAGAAAGAGGUUGUGGUGGAGGAUGUUGUCUGGUGGCCUAGUGGCGUAAUUCCAGAGAUUCCCUGGGAGUUUCAGGAUGCCCGAAAUGUGGGGGGCCGAAAGCCCUGUCGAAGGUUUCUGCCCGAAGGGAAUGCCUCGUGACACCAGGAUUUGGGUGCGGGAUGCCUGGCUAGAAGGGUAAAGGCCGGAAGCCCUGUCGAAGGUUUCUACCCGAAGGGAAUGCCUCGUGAUGCUAGUUGAGAUGUGAGAUGCCCGGAAUGCGGGGAGCCGGAAGCCCGGUGGCCAUGGGAUGGCUGAGUUUGCCGGGAACCCUGUUGGAGGUUUCUGCCCGAAAGGUUGAUGAUGAGAUUGAUGAUUUGAGAAAUGGGUGAUGUGUUGAUCAAAAUUGAAAGAUAAAAAUGAUAAUUAACUCAUGACAUGAUGAUGCAUGAUGAUGAUGGCAUGUGAUGUGAUAUGAUGAUCACCUAUGAUAAUAUAUGCAUGAUGAUGCAUGAUGAUGAUGGCAUGUGAUGUGAUAUGAUGAUCACCUAUGAUAAUAUAUGCAUGAUGAUGCAUGAUGAUGAUGGCAUGUGAUGUGAUAUGAUGAUCACCUAUGAUAGUAUAUGCAUGAUGAUGCAUGAGGGUGAUGUGUGAUGUGACAUGAUGAUCAUCCAUGGUAUGAUAUGCAUGAUGAAAUGCAUGAUGAUGAUAAUGAUAUAUGAUAUGCCAUGAUGAUGAUGAUAUAUAUAUGAUGUGAUGAUGCAUGAUACGCAUGAUUACAAGGUAAGUGAUGCUUGCAACGUGUGAUGAUAUGCAUGAUGCAUUGGAAUGUUAUUGGAUUUCCCUAUCUGCUGAGUGGUUGUAGUCACCCCUUUUGGGGAUAACAUUUCAGAUUAGCAAGUAUGCCGCUACCUGCCGUCACGCGUGGUACGUUUUAUGGUCUACCCUCUGAUGUAGAGGUCGAGUGUGCGGAGAUAGACUGUCCCUCUGUUCCCGGACUGACUUUCAUCUGAGUGCGAUGUCUAGUGAUGUACGAUAUAGGCCUGGCUGGGGGCCCUAUCAUUCAAGAGUUCAUUCCUGUGCAUGUUCGUCGAGAUGGUGCUAUGCGAGGGAUGUUGCCGCUGCCACCGCCUGAUGCACCUGGUUGGGUGUGAGACUCACACGCGAUGAGUAGGAGCCGAGUCUUUUGAUGUAGAUAAUCGACACUUUUGAUGGGGGUUGUGCGCUUGAUGUAGAGGGUUGAUAGUUUCUUUUUGAGAUUUUAGGCAGGACAUGGCAGAGUCCUCGCUUUUCUUGUUUUGUAUCGACCCGAGAAAGGAGGAGUCCCAUCUUAAAAGAAUAUGUAAAUAAAGUGUCGAUGUUCGUAUAUAAAAUCCUGAUGUUUAGCUAGUGUGUAUUGGUAUCAUGGUUAGUAAGGGGAGAGAUGGAGAUGUUUAAUUUGCUUCCGCUAUGACUCACGCUGGGACCGCUUUAAAGAAAAAAAAUGCCUGUGAUUAAUGACGCUUGUAUUAAGUACAAAAUAAUAAAAGGAAAUUAAGUGUAACACCGGCGCUGGUGACGACCUGCGAAGGGUCCGGGGUGUCACAACCUUAGCAACAACCCGGAGCAGAACGCCGUAUUCAAGGACUGGUGGAACAAUUCCUGAAGUUGAAACCACCCACGUUUAAUGGAAUGGGAAGUCUUGAGGAGGCGGAACAUUGGAUUGAUGGAAUGGAACAGAUUUCUAAUUGUUGGACUAUAGCGAUGCUGAAAGGAUAUCCUUGGUAGAGUAGUAGUUGGAGGGAAAUGCAAAAUUUUGGUGGAGCUUCAAGGGACACAAUCUUUCCACCCGAUAUUGACAUGAACUGGGAUGAGUUUGUUAGAGCUUUCAAUAGAAAGCAUUUCUCUGAUUGUGCCAAGGAUCGUAAGAUCACAGAGUUUGUUCAGUUGGAACAGAGGGAGCUGACUAUAGACUAGUAUGCAGCAAAAUUUUCUGAAUUAUCCAGGUAUGCUCCCAGGUUGAUUGAGGAUCGAGAGGAAAAGGCUAAGAGAUUCUCGAAAGGAUUAAGGACUGAUAUUAGGAAACAACUAGUGCCUCUGAAUAUAAGGGAUUAUAAUGAGAUUUAUGAAAUGGCAUAGUUGGUGGAGCAAGAGUUAGUACGAGAGCAAUAAGAAUCUAAGANNNNNNNNNNNNNNNNNNNNNNNNNNNNNNNNNNNNNNNNNNNNNNNNNNNNNNNNNNNNNNNNNNNNNNNNNNNNNNNNNNNNNNNNNNNNNNNNNNNNNNNNNNNNNNNNNNNNNNNNNNNNNNNNNNNNNNNNNNNNNNNNNNNNNNNNNNNNNNNNNNNNNNNNNNNNNNNNNNNNNNNNNNNNNNNNNNNNNNNNNNNNNNNNNNNNNNNNNNNNNNNNNNNNNNNNNNNNNNNNNNNNNNNNNNNNNNNNNNNNNNNNNNNNNNNNNNNNNNNNNNNNNNNNNNNNNNNNNNNNNNNNNNNNNNNNNNNNNNNNNNNNNNNNNNNNNNNNNNNNNNNNNNNNNNNNNNNNNNNNNNNNNNNNNNNNNNNNNNNNNNNNNNNNNNNNNNNNNNNNNNNNNNNNNNNNNNNNNNNNNNNNNNNNNNNNNNNNNNNNNNNNNNNNNNNNNNNNNNNNNNNNNNNNNNNNNNNNNNNNNNNNNNNNNNNNNNNNNNNNNNNNNNNNNNNNNNNNNNNNNNNNNNNNNNNNNNNNNNNNNNNNNNNNNNNNNNNNNNNNNNNNNNNNNNNNNNNNNNNNNNNNNNNNNNNNNNNNNNNNNNNNNNNNNNNNNNNNNNNNNNNNNNNNNNNNNNNNNNNNNNNNNNNNNNNNNNNNNNNNNNNNNNNNNNNNNNNNNNNNNNNNNNNNNNNNNNNNNNNNNNNNNNNNNNNNNNNNNNNNNNNNNNNNNNNNNNNNNNNNNNNNNNNNNNNNNNNNNNNNNNNNNNNNNNNNNNNNNNNNNNNNNNNNNNNNNNNNNNNNNNNNNNNNNNNNNNNNNNNNNNNNNNNNNNNNNNNNNNNNNNNNNNNNNNNNNNNNNNNNNNNNNNNNNNNNNNNNNNNNNNNNNNNNNNNNNNNNNNNNNNNNNNNNNNNNNNNNNNNNNNNNNNNNNNNNNNNNNNNNNNNNNNNNNNNNNNNNNNNNNNNNNNNNNNNNNNNNNNNNNNNNNNNNNNNNNNNNNNNNNNNNNNNNNNNNNNNNNNNNNNNNNNNNNNNNNNNNNNNNNNNNNNNNNNNNNNNNNNNNNNNNNNNNNNNNNNNNNNNNNNNNNNNNNNNNNNNNNNNNNNNNNNNNNNNNNNNNNNNNNNNNNNNNNNNNNNNNNNNNNNNNNNNNNNNNNNNNNNNNNNNNNNNNNNNNNNNNNNNNNNNNNNNNNNNNNNNNNNNNNNNNNNNNNNNNNNNNNNNNNNNNNNNNNNNNNNNNNNNNNNNNNNNNNNNNNNNNNNNNNNNNNNNNNNNNNNNNNNNNNNNNNNNNNNNNNNNNNNNNNNNNNNNNNNNNNNNNNNNNNNNNNNNNNNNNNNNNNNNNNNNNNNNNNNNNNNNNNNNNNNNNNNNNNNNNNNNNNNNNNNNNNNNNNNNNNNNNNNNNNNNNNNNNNNNNNNNNNNNNNNNNNNNNNNNNNNNNNNNNNNNNNNNNNNNNNNNNNNNNNNNNNNNNNNNNNNNNNNNNNNNNNNNNNNNNNNNNNNNNNNNNNNNNNNNNNNNNNNNNNNNNNNNNNNNNNNNNNNNNNNNNNNNNNNNNNNNNNNNNNNNNNNNNNNNNNNNNNNNNNNNNNNNNNNNNNNNNNNNNNNNNNNNNNNNNNNNNNNNNNNNNNNNNNNNNNNNNNNNNNNNNNNNNNNNNNNNNNNNNNNNNNNNNNNNNNNNNNNNNNNNNNNNNNNNNNNNNNNNNNNNNNNNNNNNNNNNNNNNNNNNNNNNNNNNNNNNNNNNNNNNNNNNNNNNNNNNNNNNNNNNNNNNNNNNNNNNNNNNNNNNNNNNNNNNNNNNNNNNNNNNNNNNNNNNNNNNNNNNNNNNNNNNNNNNNNNNNNNNNNNNNNNNNNNNNNNNNNNNNNNNAUGUAAGAUAACUGUAGGGGGAGGGAUAUGGAAAUAGACCUAGUCAUGAUGGCCAUGUAUGACUUUGAUGUUAUCAUCGGAAUGGACUGGCUCCAUAAGUAUCAAGCUAAGAUGGAUUGCUAUAGGAAAGUGAUCCAAUUUGUUUUACCUGACCGAUCUAGUUUUGAAUUUUUCGGAGGUCAGACAAAUCCCUCUGUAGCACUUAUUUCAGUGAUAGAAGCUCGUGCACUACUUGAUGAAGGAUGUCAAGGAUACCUGGUAGUAGUAAAGGAUUAUAUGAAGGAAGAAGCUAAGCUUGAUGAAAUUCGAGUGGUUAGGGAAUUUCAGGAUGUCUUUCCUGAGGAAUUACUAGGGUUACCACCGGAACGAGAAAUUGAGUUCGAGAUUAAACUAAUGCCUGGAACAGGACCAAUAUCUAAAGUCCCAUAUAGGAUGGCCUUAAUGGAAUUGAAAGAGUUGAAGGUGCAACUACAAGAGUUGCUCGAUAAAGGAUUUAUUAGGCCAAGUGCUUCUCCUUAGGGUGCACUGGUAUUAUUUGUGAAAAAGAAUGAUGGGUCAAUGCAUUUAUGGAUUGACUAUAGGCAACUCAAUCAAGUGACUAUUAAGAAUAAGUAUCACUUGCCUAGAAUUGAUGAUCUAUUUGACCAACCGCAAGGAAGUUCAGUCUUUUCUAAGAUUGACUUGAGGUCAGGGUACCAUUAGCUAAGGAUUAAGAAGGAAGACAUUCCCAAGAUUGCAUUUAGGACUCGCUAUGGACACUAUGAGUUCCUAGUUAUACCAUUUGGAUUGACAAAUGCCCUGGCUGCAUUCAUGGAUCUGGUGAAUAGGAUAUUUAAACCUUAUCUGGAUCAACUUGUGAUUGUCUUCAUUGAUGAUAUCCUAAUAUAUUCUAAAGGACCCGAAGAGCAUGAACGACACCUAGAGAUAGUGUUGCAAACCCUUAGAGACCAUAAAUUGUACGCCAAAUUCAGUAAGUGCAAAUUUCGGUUGGCCAUAUAAUAUUUUUGGGACACGUGGUGUCAGGAGAAGGAAUUGCAAUAGACUCGGCAAAAGUUGAGAUGGUAGUAAAUUGGUUGAGACCGACAAUGCCGACUGAGAUACGGAGUUUCUUGGGAUUAGCAGGCUAUUACAAAAGUUUAUUGAAGGAUUCUUGCGACUUGCAGGCCCUCUAACGAAAUUAACUAGGAAAAAUGUAAGAUUUGAAUGGGAUAGAGAAUGUGAAAGGAGCUUUCAGGAACUUAAAAGGAAAUUGACUACGGCUCCCAUUUUAAUUAUACCAUCUGGAUCUGGCGGAUUCACAAUAUAUAGUGAUGCGUCUCACAAAGGAUUGGGAUGCAUUUUGAUGCAGCACGGCAAGGUCAUAGCCUAUGCAUCUAGACAAUUGAAACCCCAUGAAUUGAAUUACCCAACCCAUGACUUAGAGUUGGCAGUUAUAAUUUUCGCUUUGAAAAUAUGGAGGCAUUAUCUGUAUGGAGAGAAAUUUGAAAUCUAUACAAAUCAUAAGAGUUUGAAAUAUUUGUUUUCACAAAAGAAACUGAACAUGAGAUAGAGGAGAUGGAUGGAGUUGUUAAAGGAUUAUGACUGUGAAAUAUGAUACCAUCCAGGAAAGGCAAAUAAGGUGGUAGAUGCUCUUAGUCAUAAGUCGGCUAUGAAAAUGGCCAGUAUGAGAAUAGCAUAAUGGAACUUGUUGAACUCAGUAGCAAAUUCAGAGUUUAAAUUGGAAAUAGAUCACCUUACUGGUAUGCUUACUGUACUAAGAAUUGAACCGGAAAUUAUCUAGAAAAUUAGAAUUUUGUAAGAAUCUGACUAGGAAAUUGUGAAAGUGCGAAAUGCCGUGUCUUAAGGAAAAUGACCAGAAUUUCAAGUCUCUGAAGAUGGAGUGGUAAGAUGCCAAGGACGGCUCUUUGUUCCCAAUAAUGAAGAAAUAAAAAUGGAAAUUCUGUCGGAAGCACAUAGAAGUAACUAUAGUAUUCAUCCGGAUAGUGCAAAGAUGUACAAGAAUUUACGUCAAUAGUACUAGUGGAAUGGCAUAAAAACAGAUAUAGCUAAGCAUGUCUCUCAAUGUUUAACGUGCCAGCAAGUGAAGGCGGUCCCUUCUUCCUCUUCACCGAUGGAUAAAUAUGCUGAGGUAUAUGUAAGCCAGGUAGUACGCUUACAUGGUGUACCUGUGACUAUCACUUCUAAUCGAGAUUCAAGAUUUACUUCAAACUUUUGGCGAAAUCUUCAAACCGCAUUAGGGACUAAGCUCCAAUUUAGUACUGUUUUUCAUUCGCAGACGAAUGUACAGACAGAAAGAGUAAUCUAGACACUAGAAGAUAUGUUAAGAGCUUGUGUCCUUCAUUUUAAAGGAAGUUGGGAUGAAAUGUUAAAUCUGAUAGAAUUCGCCUAUAACAAUAGUUUCAGAAAAGUAUAGGCAUAGCUCCCUAUGAAGCAUUGUAUGGGAGAAGAUGUAGGACCCCUGUCUAUUGGAAUGGAGUAGGUGAAAGGAAGUUGGCAAGACUAGAGUUGGUUCAAAUUUCUACAAAGGUAGUAGAGAUCAUCAGGAAAAGACUUAAAAUAGCCCAAAGCCGAUAGAAAGACUACGCAGAUAAGCGUAGAAGACCUUUGGAGCAUAAUGUAGGAGACCACGUAUUCCUUAAAGUAUCUCCGAUAAAAGGAAUAUCAUGAUUUGGAAUAAAAGGCAAGUUGAGCCCGAGAUUUGUUGGACCUUUUGAAAUACUUGAAAGAAUAGGAGACGUAGCUUAUCAGUUAGCAUUACCCCCUAAGUUGGGAAAUUUGCACGAUGUGUUCCAUAUAUCGAUGCUGACAAGGUAUCAGCCUGAACCUGGACAUAUACUCGAUCAUUAAGCCAUGAAAGUGGAUGAGAAAAUGAGGUAUCUAGAAGAGCCAAUACAAGUACUGGAUCAAAAGGAACAACUCCUUCGGACAAAGAAAAUCCCACUAGUUAAGGUAUUAUGGCGACAUCACGAUGUGGAGGAGGCCACAUGGGAAAGUGAGAAAGAAAUGAGGGAAAUGUAUCCUUAUCUAUUUAUAGAGACUAGACUAAUGUCCAAUUACGAGGACGAAAUUCUCUAAGGAGGGGAGAAUUGUGGCAUCUGGAAAUUUCGAUGACCCUCAAAUAUGCAACGGCUGUGAGUAAUCGACGGGAGUAUUGUUGGUACCACAUUUGGCCUAGUCUCAUCACCACUCAAUGUACCAAAACAUUUGCUUUCGGAGAGAAAAGGAAAUUCGUCUUUGAAUGGCCAUAUGAACAAUCUCACCAACGGCCACGUUAUUUUAUCUCUUGGACCGAACCUCCUAUGUACAUUGUCGCGACCCCAUGCAGCCUUGCCGAUUUCUUUCUUCACGCAAGAAUCUCAGUCACGUACUUGUACAUGAAGUGGACUGAAUAGGAAGAGAUUAGUUGAUUUCCAUGGAAACCAUGAAACCGAAAUACCCCACGCAUGUACCGAAAUUUUAGGAUUUAAUCUUUGGAGGGAUUGGACCAUGUAGUAUGGACCGCACGGCCCCAAAUUCGCUGGCCCAAUUAACCCAUAACCUCUCCCUUAAUUGUCGACAAAGCAAGUCAACAAUCCUUAAAACUUCUCCAACUUUGUUGACCGAGAGAAGCUCAGCAACGGCCACGUUGCUUCCCAUUCGGUUGCCAGCAAGGAAAUCCAAGAAAUUGUCAGCUGAAGACACGCCUCUCCCUAGCUGUCUUCGGUUCUUGCUGCCACCGAAAGAUUUACAUGCAGCUGACUAAUGAGUCAACAAUUAGAAGGAGCAAAAUGCUCGUACAUGUGAGGAGGAGAGAGAAUGAACCGAAACCAGCGUGUGAGAGAGUGAAGGACCGAGCGAAACUUGAGAGAGAGAGAAUUUGAGCAAGGAAAUUCACGAGUGAGCAACGAGCGGGUGAACGGCGAAGAGGAAGAAGGGACCGCCUUCUGCCAUGCUUGAGUUGCCGCCGUUGUCGCCGCUAGUCUCCGCUGCCAUCGAGCUGAGCCCGAGACCCACGAGCCCCCGUUUUGCUUGCAAUUGAGCUAAAGAGCUAGAGGCAAGUGAAAGUCCAUUGAUCUAUAUAAUGCAAUGCUGUUGUGGUCUGAUGUACUGCAAUAGACUUGGAGAUGUUUGAGUUGUGGAUGUUGGAUGCUGGAUUUUGGAUGAGUAGAGUAGAAAUUGAUUGAGAAAUUUAGGAAACGCUUUGGUUUUUAUAGGUGCUUUUAAAUUCCUUUGAAUGACAUUAUGAAAUAUAGUUUUGGAUGGAUUUUUGAAAGUAAAAUUAGCCAAGGAAUACGCAUCGGAUUCCAUUGGAUCCCUGUGGUCCCGAGUUGCUCAUGUGUAGCCUAGUGAUUUUGUUGAUUUUUAAUAGAAAUCUCUAUUAUGAUUUUGGUCUUGAUUUCUUCAUGAAAGCUGUAGAGAAUUCUUUAAACUAUAACAUAUAUUUUGGUCAGAUUUUUCGAAAUUCAUAUAUAGUGGCAUAAAUCUAUUUUAAUGUUCGGUACUCUACUGUUGAAGUGUAAAUUCUGGAAUAAAUUUGGGGCAGAGUUAUGCGACUUGUUGCAAUUCACACAAAACUAUUUUGGCUUAGUGUUCUGCAUGAAAAUUUUUCCUUUAGGCCUUAUUUAUAAUAUAUCAAAAGUUUGGAAUUUUCUGAGUUCAUUUAGGGGUUAUACCAAAAUUUUUACUAAAACUGUGCAUUCUGAUAUUUGAGCUGUUUUAUUCCGAAUUUGCUCAAUUGUCCCAAAGAUGAAUGCAUCUUGAGUUGUUAUUUGACAUGAUAAUAUUGGCAUUCAGCAUAUCAUUCAAUAUUGAGAUUUGACGAGACUCAUGGGACAUCUUGUCAUUGCAUCGAAAAGUAUUUUUGAUAUUAAGAUCGAAUGAGUCAAUGCCUUGUGGAUGCCUGGGGUCUAUAGUGCCCCAGAGGUUUUCCCCGGGAGCAUCAGGAUACUCGAUAGUAGGUCCGUACUUAAAUUUGGAGGGUUGGGGUAACCAUUUUCAUGGCGAUCCCCAUUGAUUUCUCGUGACGCCAAGUGGGGUGCGAGAUGCUUGGAGGUGUAACACAACACGCUCUAAAUGCCUGGUUGUAUUAUGAAUACAUGCCUAGAGGCUUUCAUGAUGCCAGUUGGGUGCAAAAUCCCUGAAGGACGCAAACAUUGAUCCUCUGGGGAGAUAAAACCUUUUGAAUUUUAAAACUGAUGAUUAUACUAAGUGUGAGUGUGGUCUAGUUAUGGGACUAAAUUGUAUGGCAUGGAAUGGGACAUGUCAUAACAGUUUGACCCUAUGAUCAGGACUCGUGUGACUGAACAUGAUGCAUUUUGUUUGUUAGAACUGCACAGGUCAUUGCACUGAAGAGUUAUAUGGUUUAGAUGGAUACUCAUUUCUUGAUGACUAUCUUGUCUGUCUUGCAUGAAACUAGAUCGUGAUGGCUUGCAUAGUAUCGUUUGAUGGAUCUUUUGCUAUUGAGUGGUUGUACUCACCUCGUUUGAGGACUAACAUUUCAGACUAGAAGAUAUGCCUCUGCUACUAGUCACCCCCGGCACAUUCUAUGGUAUUCCAGUUGACCUUCACUUGGAGUGUUCGGAGCACCACCAUCCUGAGAUACGAGGGUUGGUUUUUGUUUGAGUGAGGAUACCGAUCAUGUUUGACAUUGGUCCUCCCAUCGGCCUAGUGCACCAGGAGUUUCUGACCGUGUUUGUCCGUCGUGAUGCGAGUACGCUAGGGCCAUUGCCACUGCCGCCAUCUGAUAGACCGGACUGGGUGUGACUAAGAGUGAUGGUCAGCAGAUGAAGCAUUUUUGGACCGCCGACACUGACUGAUGGGCCUAUGUACACGGUUGUUAGAGAGUCGAGUACUUUUUGAAAAUAGCCAAGUUUAUAAAAAUCCUGGCAUUUUGAUGUACCGACCCAUGAUGUCCAUCUACUUAUGUAAAUAAAAGUGUCCGGCUUUAACUUAUAAAAUGUUUAGUUGGUGUGCAUUGUUUCUGAAUAUGGAAUAAGGAGAUGUUGGAUAUGCUUCUGCUUUAUAAACUGCAUAGGGACCUAUAGAAAGAAUAUAAAUCCCAGAUCAUGGAUUUGUUAGAUUUUAUGGUAUCAGAGUAAAGGAUUUUCAGGUUAAGUGAAAGCAAAGGCGAGUGUGAUCUGUGACGACCCUAACGGAUCAGGGGCCAUUCAAAGGGUGCUACACAUUUACAGCCUUUAAGCUUCCUUGGCAAGUCUCCCAAGGGUCCAAAUGUUACACACCACCCCUAGUUACAAAUUUAGGAACAUUUGCCACUCAAAUUAAUCCAAUUCUCCUUCAAUUCCUCUCCCAUUGAGCCUAAAUCGGUCCUCAUAAAUCCAACCAAGAUGCCCACACUUGAAUUCACAUUUUUCCUCAUCAACUGAACCAACUGGAAUCCCAAAAACACAACCAAAAAUGACCCUUUGAUUUUUCCGGUAAAAAACGGCCCUACAUUGAAAUUUUGCAUAAAAUCUUGGUUUGCAGAAAAAUCUUCGAACGAUGAAUCAAUGGUCCUAAAAUGAAUUGUGACAUGACAAAACUUUCAAUUUCUGAAAUCGGGUUUAAAUUCACGGUUAAUUUCAAUUUGGCGCGAUUUUAGCGUGAUCUAACCUACCGGAUAGCUUUUAGGAAUUUUCAGUGCAAUUGACUCAUGGUCGAUUAUUUUCAAACCACAUUGUACAUCUUCGACUCAUUGGCAACUUUCGGUUGUUGUGAAAAUCUCGAAGUUUCAAAUAUGGACACAGGGUACAAAAAUAACAGAAAAAUAGGUCUGACAUUGUUCGACAAUAAUUUUGCAAUUAGGUGGAAUCACCUACACACUAAUCACAUACCUCUAUCGAAUGGACAUAUCUCCGGUCUCUGAUCGAUUUUGAUGGUGCCGUAACAACCCUUGCAGAUUAACAUGGUCGAGCAGUCGAUUACUGGUCAAAUUCUCAAGUUUAUUGCGUUAAAAUGCCUUGACGACUUCACUAGAUAGACUACUUUUCUCGUGAGUGAUCAGCUCAGAGAAUAGAACUAUAGGCGUGUCGAUGAAAAACCCGAUUCAUUCAAUUGAAAAUAGAACUGGAAAUUCAGGAUGUCACACUUUGCAUACUGAAGCUUUCUAAUGCCCUAUUUACAGGCACCAAUAUACUACUUUAGGAACCUUAGCUUUUGGAAAGAAAUUUUUUGAAAGGUGUAGCCAAUAUUCCUAAACAAAAGAUUCGCAUGUUUAACCACGAGGAUUGAAGCCCACAAAUUUUGGAAGACAAAAUCCUGUACUUUAGGAACCUUAUCUUCAGGUAUGACGUCAAGAGCUCCACAUCUUUUAUUUUCUUAUGAAAGCAUUUAUUGCAUGUCUCCCAAAUACUUCCCUACUAUUAGAAUUACCAUUCGCCAAAUGGUAACCUAUAGACGUUGAUUUCUAUAUCCAAUGAUGGGCCCACUACAUGGUUCAAUUAGAGGAAAAAAACUUUACAUGGACGUCUCUAAGAUCGUACUAACGGUGUCGGUACUUAAAGCUUUCCCUUUUUCUUUUGGACUGUAACAAGUGCUUUUUCACAUUGACUCUAAAAAGUAAAGGUCCAUGGUGACCUUGGAGACUCAAAAAGGAAGAGUGAUUGUGAAGGAUGCGAAAAAUAAUUGAUGAAUGCUUUUCCAUAGUAUGAUGGUGAUUGUCGUCUCUAUCUUAUUCCCGAUUCAAUUAAAAAGUUCGAAAUAAUUUACUGAAUUUAACCUGUUAUGUACAAUCAUUUAGGAAACACCUGAACUCAUCUAGGAUUUGAAAUAUGGGAAGAUUUUAGGUAUCGUUGAAAAAGAUAAAUUACGUAAAUUUUAUGUAUUUAUGAAUGGAAAAUUUUACUACUUGAAAUUAUGUGUGGGUGUGUGAUUUCUUUUUUCUUCUUUAAAAAAAAAUUCUAAAUUGCAUAUAGCAUAAAGAUUAGUACUUGAUUGAUGAAAUUUGGGAUUUUGAUGACAUUGGCAAAGUGUUAGUGGAGUUGUAGAUAAGCAAUAUGAGGAACAAAUCUGAGUUAUAAUUUUCUCGAAGCACUUCUUUUGAAAUUCUUUCCAUUUCAUAUUAUCCAUGAGGAUGCUCAACUAGAAGAACAAUUGCUUCAACUAACCCAUAUGUUCCCUCGAGGAAAUCCCUUAAGUGUCCCUUAACAAUUCUUUUCAUGAUAAAGCUGUAAGCAUCGUUUUAAGGAAGAUGUCAAGGAACAAGUGCCGGAAGUGCUUAGAAAAAUGCUUGAUUCUAGAGUAUUUGAAUCAGAGCGAUUUGCUAAUGGGUACGUCACGUUUACCAUCUUUUAAUUGAUCCUCGUCCGAGGAAGAAUUUUCUAUUUGUCAUCCUGAAUCCUUGUUAUGUGGAACCAUUAGUUAGUUCUUAUCUAUUGUGUUGUUUGACAGGCAUGAAGGGAGCUUAGUGAAAGAACUCGUAGAAAUAGUAAUGCGCCAGCAACAACAUAAUUAUCCAGCACCACUUUCCGUGGACUUGGUUGGAAUUGAUCAUCGUGUGGUUGAAGUUAUGAAAUUGGUAGAUAGAGAUCCUUUCAAAACUCGAACAAUUGUGAUAUAUGGGAUAGGCGCCAUUGGUAAGACAACUCUGGCUACGGUCAUCUAUAAAAAGCUUUACGACAAAUUUAAGAGUUGUAGCUUUCUCAAGGAUAUUAGAGAAACAAUUAAAAGCAAGGGAUUGGAGCAUGUCCAAUCUCUUCUAAUCUUAGAUAUGGCAGAAAGUAGUGAUUGUUGGGUGCCUAAUCCUGAGAGGGGGAUUGGGAAUGAUCCGAUUUGGUUGUNNNNNNNNNNNNNNNNNNNNNNNNNNNNNNNNNNNNNNNNNNNNNNNNNNNNNNNNNNNNNNNNNNNNNNNNNNNNNNNNNNNNNNNNNNNNNNNNNNNNGAAGUAGGAUCAUUAUAACAUGUCGGGAUAAGGCCCUCUUGAAGUCUGAAUAUCAAAGCUAUGAACUCAAAAAAAUUAGUUACGAAGCCUCUUUGAUUCUGUUUAAUAAAUAUGCAUUUGAUGGGGCACAACCUCCAAGAGAACUUGCAGCUCUUUCUAGUGCUAUUGUUGACACAGCAAAAGGGCUCCCUUUAGCUCUUGUGAUUGCAGGUUCACUUCUCAAGGGAAAACAUAUAAACAUUGGAUGGAGACGCUGGAGAAAUUGAGGAAGGUGCCUAAUAAGUAUGUGCAAAAGAUGUUGAGGAUCGGUUAUGAUUCAUUAGGAUAUGAGGAACAACAAAUGUUUCUAAACAAAGCAUGCUUUUUUAUUGGAUUUGACAAAAGAAUUGUCUCCUAUCUAUGGGAGGAUCUCCAAUUGUGCGUAGCUUCUGGAUUGGACAGGAUGGUUGAACUUUCCCUAAUACAAUAUGGCGAGGAGAAUGAGUUGAGAAUGCAUGACCAAUUAAGAGAUCUAGGUAGAGCUCUUGCUCGUCCUGUAGAUAAGAAGCCUUGGGAUUGUAGCAGACUAUGGGACGCGGAAGCCAUACCGGUUCAACUAAGCAAGACAACAAUGAUGUCUGUUGACACCUAAAUUUUGACGAUUAGUUUAGGAAAUUAGGGGUUAAUUUUAUUAAUUGCAUAGCAUAUAGAUUUAGAUUGCAUUUAUUUUGUUAUUUUGCAUCUAUUGGGACCGGUGGCGAAUGAGUUCAAAUUUUGUUAUUUUGCAUCUUAUUGGACCGGUGGCGAAUGAGUUCAAAUUAGAUGGAUCAGGCCAGUGAAGCGAGUAGGUUGGCCAAAGCCCGUGUUUUUUAAUAAUUAAAAAUUAUCUCGUGGGAAUAUAAUAUUUUAAAAUUUUUCCGAGAUAUGAAUCUUUUUUGGGAUAGGGCAUAUGUGACAGGAAGAUAUUGCGAUUUAUGUUUACAAGAUUUGGAUUUCAAAAAAAUCUUCAUGGAUAUCAAUUAAAACCCUAACCCAUGGCCUAUAAAUAAAUUAAAAUGCAUAGGGUUUUGGGAGGCCACGGACAUUGAAUACACAGCCAGGGCUUUUCUCGAGUUUUAGGUCAAAAUCAAAAGAAAAGUUUUCCCAGGGGUUCUCUAUUUUUUUGGUCAGAAAUUUGAACAUAAGAAGAGGAGAUUUAUUUCCUUUUGGUUUGGGUUAUUCGUCGGGGAUCUUCGAAGGAGCAGCAAAAAAAAAGUCAAAAGGGGAUUGUUUGAAAUUCUGAAGAGGUGCAGAGAGGGGACGUGAGAGAUAAAAAUUGGAGAAUCCUUCUUCUGCAAGUUGGACGUCUAUGAGAUAGCUAGUAUAAGCACCUAGAGGGGGGUGAAUAGGUGCACAAACAAUUUGUUGAGAUACGGAAGCGAUUCUUGGCAAACGAUAGAAAGGAAAUUCUUUCUUAAUUAACAAAAUGAAAUACGAUUAAGGUAAAGAGAGUGAGGAAGAGAAAAUUGAACACAGGAUUUAUAGUGGUUCGGCUUAUUCCAAGCCUACGUCCACUCUUCCACACUGACAGCGCACCGGCUGGAUUCCACUAUGAACAAAAGAGAAGUUACACCACAGCUUUCCCUUGAUUCCACAAUGUAGAUGUUCUAUCACACCUCCUCAAGGUUUCUCACAAAUAUAUACUCUUUUGAAUACAAUGUUUCGCUCAAAGAAAUUGUCUAAACAACAGGAAGCUUUCAGACUUUGGAAUUUUUCUAUCGCGCACACCUCGAACAACUGAGAACGUCUUCCUUAUAUACUCCUUUAUGCCAUCAUACCUGUUGGCACUUACCAAAUGAAUUCCUCCAAUCUACCCGUUGGACGGAAUCAAUUAAGAAGAUUAUUCGAGCUAUUAAAGAAACGUGUCGAUAGCCCAUCAAUCCUGUUCGCCCAUACAAUCAGGAUCUCGAUUUCCAUAAGUAGAACCUUCCAAGAAUAUUCAAGCAAUCAUCGGAUCUUCAAUCAUCGAGUCAAUCUCAACCAAUCAAAGAAUUUCGUUAUGUCUUUUCCAGCCACGAGAUCUUCUCCAGUUGAUAAGGUCAUAUCCUUAACAAAUCAUCCAAUUCUGGAUAACCUUUCUUCAACGGAUUAGAGACUGUCAAUGAGGAUAGACUUUGAGUCUUGAGUCUGGCUGUCCGGAGGUCUUCAGACUUUAAAUAGCAAAGUCUGCAAAACCUUCAGACUAGACUGAUGGAAACGUUUUGUCAGCUUCAAAACACUUCAAGAAGAUUUCUCCAACAAUCUCUUCCUUUUUGAUGGUGAUAAAACUUUCUUGCAGAUUUGGACAACUUUGACCUGCGAAACAUUGCUCAAACGCAUAUGCAUAUCUUAUAGAAAUAAAUGGCUAACACUAGAAUCUGCAACCACAGAAAAUAGGUUAGUCUUGAAUAUAAGAAAGCCAUCCAUAAGAUAUCAAUAGCAGCAGUCAAUAGCAAUCAUCCAAAUUCAAAUCCAGACACAAAACUUAAAGUCAAACCUCAAACAAAUCAAACAAACCAACCAGUCAAACAAACGAUUAAAAAUUAUCAAAGUGUUCAAAUCUCUUGCAUCUCUCCCCCUUUGUCAGCAUUAAAAAGGUUGAGAUGAAAAUGGAAUGAAGUCAAGAUUGCUUGGGAACACGGACAAGCUAGAAAUCUCCCAUAGACUAAACGAUCCCUUCCAGCCUUUUCAAGUCUUCCUUCAGUUGUGCGAUCUCCUCACCCUUGGCAUUGGCCUGAAUCUUAACAGAGAGGGCUUGGAUUUUAUCAUUUAAUGAACAUGAAGAAACUUGACCCGCAGUUUGCAAGUUUUGAACCUCACAUCCCAAGGCAUAAAUUUGACCGCGCAUCUCCAAAAGAAUAUCCAUGAUUCUGCGAAAAUCAGCUAAACUGUCGGUCUGCGUACUAGCUUCAGCACGUUCUGCAAAUGAUGGCAUAUCAGAAUAAUCUUGCAGGUUUGGCGAUGAAACUUCAUGACCUUCUUCUGGAAAUUGAGAUGCAUAAACAUCUUCUAGGUCUGCAGGUGAGUGACUGACUCCUUCACUCGUAUCAGGAUAUGAGGACUUCUCUCCUUUCUCUUGAUCUCCCCCUGUUUCCAUGCCUACAGGUGGAGAAGAGUGUUCCUCAGGUUCUCCUUCUUUUCUUCUUUCUUCCUCGGGUCUUUCCUCCUCUGCUUCUUUUUCUCCAACUGCUCUUUCUUCCUCUUUCUCUUCUUCUUCUCUUCCUUCUUCCUCUCCUUCUCUUUCCUUCUGGCCUUCUCUUUCCUUCUCUUUCGCCUCACGUUGUUCCACUGACUCUGGAAUAGUACGACUUAGCUUUUUCAAAGCUAUGGCAGAAAUGGUAAGGUCAUCAUCUUCUUCAUCUUCUACAAUAAGAGCUCUCCUUUUUGGUUUUGAAGCAACCAAGGGCUCAUUUCCUUUCCUUUUUGAAGAAGUUUGAUGAGCUUUGACUGGAGUCUUCUCCUUGAAUUUCUCCAACUCCUUGUUCAGUUCUUUUAGACGCAUUUUGGUCACUAUCUUCAGUCCUACCACCAUAUGAUCGCACGAUCGAACACAAAAGAUUUGCGGAGGCUGAAUAUUCAUAUGUCUGAAUAACUUCGUCACAAGGUGUGGCAUCCCAGAAAUUCAAAGCCGAGCCAUAAGGUGUAUUGAAGUCUUUAAUUAGGUGAUAGAAUUUCUUUUGGCUUAUGCCUUAGCCAAUUUGUCUUUUAAUUUGAUGAUUUGUGUAUUUUAAUUUAUAGAUUAAUAAUUGGCCAUGAGAUUUAUAAAUUUAAAUCUUAAUAAACAAAGUGUCCCAAGACUUUGGCCAAGACGAAAUUUGAAUUUGGAAAUAUUUAUAGAACGGAAUUCAAAAAAAAAAGGGGGGGAAAUAGGGUUAUUUUUGGAAUGGGCCUUGGACCCAUUGGCCUAAAGCUUGGUGGGCCAAGCUUGUUGGCCCAUUAGAGCCCAAGAGGGAAUUCGACCAACCAAAAGGGAGUGGCCGGAUGGGCCUAAGCCCAAGCCCAAGCAAAUUCAAAAAUAAAAAUGACAAGUGGCAAGGGACAUGAGCAUGCAUUGGUGGGUUUGUAGGCAAUCUCAUGAUUGCAAAUGAUGGGAUUAAGGGAGUAUAAAAGGGAUGAGGAGAGAGAGUGGCCGGAUUACUUGCUUCAAUUCGUCCAAAGAGAGGGUGAGAAAGAGAGAGAGUUUGAGAGAAAGGGAGAGAAACCGAGAGGGAAGGAGGCGGAGCCGGAGGGGUGUGCCAUUCGUUCGCCGUCCAAUCGUCGCCGUUCGUCGUUGCUUGUUCAUCUUUAAGGCAAGUGGAGUCCGUAACUUCUCUUGCAUGCUUGUUGUGGUGGUUGCAUGUUAGAUUUUAGGUGUGAUUUGUGCGAAAAACCGAGGUAAGAGUUGGUUAUUUGUAAACCGUGUGACUGUUCUCGUUCGGUUUGUUGAAGUCAGUAGCUUGUUCGAGUUUUCAUGUGUGUUUGGGUUUCGAUUUUGGCUUCGUUGUCUUCAUGAAAGUUGAAGCUAACGUCUUGUACUAUGACAUACUAAAAAUUAGUAGAAAACGAUGGAGAUUUGAGGGGUCAAAAGUUCUAUUGUACGGAGACUUUAGAUCUGCGAAAUUUUCACUGACCUCUUGUUGAUUUCUUGGUUGCAUGUUGAUUUCUGUUGGAGAUCUCACUUUGUUGUCUUCUUGAAAGUUGUAGGAAACACCUUAAACUAAAACAUACUCAAAUUUGAAGCAAAAAGAACAAGUGUAUCUUGGUGAAUCGGCUAGAUCUUGGAAAUAAUGGUUCUGGUGAAGUAUCUCGAGACACCCGAGACUUCAUGGACUAAAAUGGUGACCAUAAUCUGGUUAUUUGGCCUAGAUCUCUUCAUGAAACUUGUAAAGGACACCUUGAUACAUAACAUACUCAAAUUUCAGAGAAAAUGAAAGAGAAUAGAUGGGUGAAAUCUAGAAAAUUCGGAGAUGUGUGUUCUGGACGACGCGGUCGUGGUUCCAGAAGCUUCGUAGGGUUGUAGAAAUUAAUCUAAAAAUAAUUUGGCUUAGAGUUCUGCAUGAUAAAUGCACGAAAAUGUGUUGGCUAUCCCCCUGUAAAAUUUCGUAAUAUUUGAAGGCCAUAUGAGUAUUUUGAUCGAAUUUAUUUGGAAACUGUGCAAGUCUGGCCAUUAUCCGAAUAUAAGGUGCUAUUUUGUGGAAAUUGUGAAAUUAUGAGAAAUUCAAUUUGCCCAUGAAUUUUGUAUGAAAUUGUGGUCCUAUUGAUUUUUUUAGUGAUUGUUUGAAUAUUAUGAUUUUGGGAAAAUCAUAGAUAUUAAAUUUAAUAUUUAUUUAUGAAAAUAAAUAAAUAUAAUAAAAUAAUAAAAUAAUGAUAAAAUAAAAUGAAAUAGAUUUUUUAUUUGGCCAUGGAUUCAACUUCAUUUGUGUGGCACUUGUGUGAUGAGGUCUUUGUACAUGUAUUAAGUUGAAAUUGCAUAUGUGAUUAAGCUUUGGCAUGUGUAUGACAUGUGAAUUGAAAUGCAAGUGUGAUUUGUUUGAUGCCAUGCCAAUUGCCAUGUUAAAUUGAGAUAAAAGGAUAAAUGUGGAUGAGAAAGAGGUUGUGGUGGAGGAUGUUGUCUGGUGGCCUGGUGACGUAAUUCCAGAGAUCCCCUGGGAGUUUCAGGAUGCCUGGAAUGUGGGGGGGCCGGAAGCCCUGUCGGAGGUUUCUGCCCGAAGGGAAUGCCUCGCGACACCAGGAUUUGGGUGCGGGAUGCCUGGCUAGAAGGGUAAAGGCCGGAAGCCCUGUCGGAGGUUUCUACCCAAAGGGAAUGCCUCGUGAUGCUAGAUGAGAUGCGAGAUGCCCGAAAUGUGGGGGGCCGGAAGCCCGGUGGCCAUGGGAUGGCUGAGUUUGCCGGGAACCCUGUUAGAGGUUUCUGCCCGAAGGGUUGAUGAUGAGAUUGAUGAUUUGAAAAAUGGGUGAUGUGGUGAUCAAAAUUGAAAGAUAAAGAUGAUAAUUAACUCAUGACAUGAUGAUGCAUGAUGAUGAUGGCAUGUGAUGUGAUAUGAUGAUCACCUAUGAUAAUAUAUGCAUGAUGAUGCAUGAUGAUGAUGGCUUGUGAUGUGAUAUGAUGAUCACCUAUGAUAAUAUAUGCAUGAUGAUGCAUGAUGAUGAUGGCUUGUGAUGUGAUAUGAUGAUCACCUAUGAUAAUAUAUGCAUGAUGAUGCAUGAGGGUGAUGUGUGAUGUGACAUGAUGAUCAUCCAUGGUAUGAUAUGCAUGAUGAAAUGCAUGAUGAUGAUAAUGAUAUAUGAUAUGCCAUGAUGAUGAUGAUUUAUAUAUAUAUAUAUAUCUAUAUGAUGUGAUGAUGCAUGAUACGUAUGAUUACAAGGUAAGUGAUGCUUGCAACGUGUGAUGAUAUGCAUGAUGCAUUGGGAUGUUAUUGGAUUUCCCUAUCUGUUGAGUGGUUGUACUCACCCCUUUUGGGGAUAACAUUUCAGAUUAGCAAGUAUGCCGCUACCUGCCGUCACGCGUGGUACGUUUUAUGGUCUACCGUCUAAUGUAGAGGUCGAGUGUGCGGAGAUAGACUGUCCCUCUCUUCUCGGACUGACUUUCAUCCGAGUGCGAUGUCUAGUGAUGUACGAUAUAGGCCUGGCUGGGGGCCCUAUCAUUCAGGAGUUCAUUUCUGUGCACGUUAGUCGGGAUGGAGCUAUCCGAGGGAUGUUGCCACACCCGUCGCCUGAUGCACCGGGUUAGGUGUGAGACCUACGCGCGAUGAGUAAGAGCCGAGUCUUUUGAUGUAGAUAAUCGACACUUUUGAUGGGGGUUGUGCGCUUGAUGUAGAGGGUUGAUAGUUUCUUUUUGAGAUUUUAUGCAGGACAUGGCAGAGUCCUCGCUUUUCUUGUUUGUAUCGACCCGAGAAAGGAGGAGUCCCAUCUUAAAAGAAUAUGUAAAUAAAGUGUCGAUGUUCGUAUAUAAAAUCCUGAUGUUUAGCUAGUGUAUAUUGGUAUCAUGGUUAGUAAGGGGAGAGAUGGAGAUGUUUAAUUUGCUUCCGCUAUGAGUCGCGCUGGGACUGCUUCAAAAAAAAUUUAAAAAAAAAUGCCUGUGAUUAACGACGCUUGUUUUAAGUACAAGAUAGAAAAGGAAAUCAAGUGUAACACCGGCGCUGGUGACGACCUACGAAGGGUUCGGGGUGUCACACAAGGUUUGGGUAAGGGAGUUGACCUCUGUCCUUCAUCAUCGCUCUAUACAUGUGGAGCAUGAUAGUAUGAGGGAGAGAAAACCUUUUCCCAGUGAGAAUAGCAUACAUCAGCUUUACCUCUGUACUUGAAACAUCAGUCUUGGAGGUUGAUUUCAGUCGGAGGCAAUUGCUCACAAUCUUGUGAAGCAAGAUAUUGAAUGCACUCAUCCUUAGGUAGGUGAUCUUCUCCUCUGUUCUCCUAUCCUUCACAAGUUCCAGUGUGGCCCGAUCAAUGGAAACUUUGAUUGGUUGAUAUCUUCCUCUUUCAACUCUUAACACAUCUGCCAGGAUAUUCAUGUCCACAACAUAAUCCUAAUCUUUGACACUGAAAGAAAAUCUAUUCGCAUCCAAAAAGCUAAGAUUUGAAUAGAAAUAUGCGGUUAGUUUAGGAUAGGCCUCUGUAGUGUCGAAGCAAAACGUCUCAAGUUGAAGAUAACCGAACUUCUCCCUCAAGUUCACAUUCACAGCAUCCAGAAAGUCAAAAUCCACACUCCUAGGGUUUAUUACCCCACGCUUCAGCAAUUUCGAGUACAAAUCCUUUUGUUCCUUCAAUCUGAACAUAUCUCCCGUUUUUCCUCGACUUUCAACCGCAACACCCAUUCUCGGUUGAAAUUGGCUGUACAAUUUGUCAUCAUCAUUCCCAUCUACAGGAUUCGAUCCCCAAUCACGAGGAUCACUUGGGAUAUUCGCAAGGGUUUCCUCAGCCACCCCUUUACGAGCAAUUCCCAAGCUUUUCAUUUUUCGCAAAAAGAUAUAUCCUUUCCCAUAUCCUUUGUCUUUAAGAAAAUCAUCGACAUAGUUCAAGGGAGUACGAGUUCCUUUUAAGGCAUGAUACAGCUUAUAAAUAAAAGCAGGCUUUUGAACUCUUACUAGGUCUGCAUCCUCAAUGAUUUUUUCCUCUUGUUGAUGAUCAACGCCUUGAGGACUAGAUGGAGGAGAAUGACGCUAUUGAGAAUGUUGUGGGCUCUAUCGCUGUUCUAGAGACACUUCUUCUUCAGUAAGAUCGAAGUGCGUAGGCCCCUCACUCAUUCGUCGUGGUCCCCUGUUUGCAAUUCUCGACGACUUUCUUGAAGAUGACAUCUUUCUCAAAUUUUGGAAGAUUCCUUGCUUGACUUUCUCAAGAAAGAUGACAACUUUUUCGAAGAUUAAACAAAGGAGAAAAACGAGAAUGGAAGAUCGAUGCUUUCUAGGGUUUUCGAGAGUAAAGUGAAGAGGAAUCAACAGUGCACGAUCGGUUAAAAAGAAAGAUAAAUGAACCGUCACAAAGGAAAGUAAAAGAUGCCAUUUUUUAAAAAAUAACUAACAUUUUUCCGCGAAAAUAGUCAUUUCAAAAAAUAACUUCUUUUUCGAAAAGGAAACGAUGCAAUAAUUACGCCGAUUAAAGAUAGCAAUAAAACACGGUCGCCAAUCGUACCUUUUCAAGAUAAGAUUCGAGAGAGAGAAAGACUUACUUACAGUCUGACAGUCGUACCAAGACUAACUUACAGUUAUAGUCUUGUAUGUCUGAGUCUGAGAGUCUUUAGACUUUGAUCUUCUCAUACCUUAAAAUGUUGAGUCUGGAGCGGAUGGAUUCAAAUUGAUUUUUCUCAAGAGGCUUUGUGAAUAUAUCCGCCAGUUGGUUCUUUGAAUCAACAUAUUAAAUCGAAACAUCUCCAUUUUGAACAUGAUCUCUAAUAAAGUGAUGUCGAAUCUCUAUAUGCUUCGCUCUUGAGUGGAGAAUUGGAUUCUUGGGGAGAUUGAUAGCGCUGGUGUUAUCGCAAUUAAUCUCUAUGCAUGAGUCCUCAAUUCCAAAGUGUCUUAGCUGUUGUUUUAUCCACAGAAUCUGCGAACAACAACUUCCGAGAGCUAUGUACUCCGCUUCUGCUGUAGAGAAAGCUACUGUACUUUGCUUUUUUGAAAACCAAGAUACUGUCCUACCUCCAAGUAGUUGACAGGUACCCGAGGUGCUCUUUCUAUCGACUUUGCAUCCAGCAAGGUCUGCGUUUGAAUAUCCAAGAAGAGUAAAGUCUCCCCUUUUUGGAUACCAGAGACCAAAGCUUCAAGUUGAUGAGAUAUAUUUGAUAAUACGCUUCGCAGCAUUUAAAUGAGAUUCUUUUGGGUCUGAUUGAAAUCUGGCACAAAUGCAAACACUAAACAAAAUGUCAGGUCUAGAAGCAGUAAGAUAAAGAAGUGAUCCGAUGAUACUCCUGUACAGCUUUUGAUCGACUUUCUUUCCUCCUUCAUCUUUGUCUAUCUACAAGGAACUUGACAUUGGUAUAUCAGUCAUUUUGCAAUUGCCCAGUCCAAACUUUUUAACAAGAUCAUUUGCAUACUUUUCUUGAUGAAUGAAAGUUCCUUCCUCCAAUUGUUUUAUUUGAAGUCCAAGAAAGAAGGUUAAUUCACCCA